AAAGGUAAAAAAUUAAUAGCAAAAGUCACAUUUCAGCAGCGAUUAAUAGCAGAAAUCAAAGUUCAGUGGCAGGGACCAAAUAAACCUCUGGAUUUCAGACUACUUAACAAAUUAGACAAACACAUAAUCCAAUUUCAUCUUUUUCCACUCAUUUUUUUCUUGCAACACUGUUGGGCACCAAACAUCACCAAAACCGAGCUCGCUGACACAUAAAUAAGCUACCGUACACUUUUUGAUGAGGUUGGCAGAGAGCUCAAUUUAGUGGCGCUCGUACCCUUUGAAUACGUCGCUCGUCUUUCCCUAAGUUUCUCUCUGCAUUCAACCCAUCACACAAUUUCAACAAUAAUUCAGUUUGAACGAUCUGAAAUCAAUGGAAUCGGAAGUAAAUACCUAUUUCGAUCGGAGAUUUGAAUGGAUCGCCGGAGACGAUGGCUGAAGAGCAGUGGCGGGUGUUUAUUUUUUGUUCUAGGUGGUGGUGUGGCGGCGGCUUGCUGUCGAAGCGAUUGAAACGGAUGGAAACAACAAUGUGCGCGAAAGGAAACCCUCUCUCUCUACAUGUGACCCUUCCUUUCACCGCCAAAAUAAAGCAUCAAAACACCUUGGUUGCUCCUGUUAGAAGAGCCUUACUUGCUACUGUUCAGUGCCCCCACCCCUCCCUCUUUCUCUCUGCCUCUGCAACCCGCCUCUCUCUUUCUAUUUUUGCCUUACCGAAUGUCAGACCAUCCUCAGUCAAUCAUGUCAGUGGAAUCCUCACAAAAUCCCUCACUCAAUCGGGUCAGUGAUAACCUCCCUCAAUUUCCUCCCUCACCCUCGGCAACACCACCACUCUCCCAAACCUGAGAAUGACCAAAAUACCCACGCAAUUUCCAAUCCAGUGCGUCGGAUUUAGAAAGUAGAUAGGAUAAAAUAGGCAUUUGACGUUCAGGGCUUUAACCCAUUCAAUGGUCACCAUCGAAGCCCACUUCGGGCCCAAAACCAACAGCCCUAAAAGACCCAAAUUAUGGUCAGCGGUAGAGAUGUAAAUAUUCAGCCAAAUCUGAUGGCAUUAUUGUAAGUAACGUGAAAUCGAGGGGCAAAAACUUGACUGUAGCUACAGUCAAAUUCUUCCUCAAUUUUAGAAUAGAUAAUGUUGAGCCUAUGACAGCCAAAAUACAUAGCUUGUUUUCUGUUGAGACGCUUCUCUCAUAUCUGGCCAAUUAAUGAAGAGCAAACUACGACACCAUUAUUCAAAAUUUGACAAAGUGAAGUUUUCCUCUAGGAAUCUUCACCUUUCAAGCUAUAUAUUUUCUGGUUCUCAAUUCUUACAAUUUUCAUUGUUUUGUUGCUAACUUGUUUACUCACCGCUAUUCAAAAUUUGACUCUUUCUUUUGCGCUAAGUUGAUUUGCCCUGAAAUUUGCUAAGAUUGCUCAAACGUAUUUCUUUUACAAUUUUCUCUUGUGUUUGCUUUAAUCGCGUACUGACGUUGGUGAUUGAGAAAAUGACAUUGUUGAUGUCAAUGCUCAACUUUACUGUUUACUUUUUGUAUAGCUAAGUUUAUUGUAGCUCGAGAUACGUUCUUUAUAUGUGAGUAAGUCUUCCACCAAAUCAGAAACUAAAGCGUUUUAUAUACGUUGAAACGUGAUUGGAAGAUGCGUUGUCAUCCAUUCUUUCGAUUUCCUGUGCUUGAGUUAUAUUAUUUCCUCCAUGAUUUGAAGUCGUUUCCGAAGUAUAUUUAUUGGGAUUUUGAGAUGCGCGUUCUGGUACUUUUUUGGAAUAUGACUUGAAACUUUCAGAGCAAGCGCAAACCAGAGUUUACCGUUCUAAUUCUCUCUUUUGAUUAUACAAGUUAUAUUUCUCAAUUGUCAUUAACCUCGAGAUUACUUGGUAAUGACGUGAUUACACAGUUAUAUUCUCAACUUGCUAUUACCUCGAGAUUACUCGGUGGUAGUGACAUGAUUACACAUUUAUAUUCUCAGCUUGUCAUCAUCUCGAGAUUACUCGACAAUGACAUAAUUAGAUUUCAGCUUACACUAGUUACGGCUAGUGUAUGAUUUUGUAUGCAUGUAAGAUAGUGUCAGAGACCCAUUAAGUGUGGUCCUUCGGGGAUGCAAUAAAUGUGGUUACUUGCAGGUGUUUUAAUUUGGGCUUAUCCCUAUUUCGGUAGAUUUUAAUAGUUGAAAACUUGAGUUAUGACUUUAUGCAUAUUAUGGAUUCGUCACCAAUCCACGUGAUGGCCAGCUGAUAGGAUUUUUAGUAUUUGCAUAAAGAGGGUUAAAAAUCAUACAAAAUACUUGUAAGAGAACAAGGUAGUUGUAGUAAAAAUGCUCAUGUAAGGUCGUUCCCACAAGGAUUAUCUAAAACAAUUUAUGUAAAAAUAAAAUCUUAGUUAAUUAUUUGAAAACAAAGUUUGAAAAGAGUGGUUUUUCAAUCUAAAAAUAAUAAAAACGAAUUUAAUAAAAGUAAUUGAGGAAAAUCAACAAGAAAUUAAUUUUAAAGAAAUCAAAUUAAAAAGAAAUGGCCUUGAGAAAUAGAUUUGUAAAAGCAUUAGGGUUCCACUGUCAUCUUAACAACUCUUUGUAGAUUCACUAAUUACUUAUGAAUUACACAUGCAACUUUGAAUGUUAGGUUUUCCUAAUGCAUAUUUAACUUGUGGCAUUCAAGAUAGAACGUAUAUCAAACAUGCAAUCCGUCUAUAGCAUUCAUAUCAAAUAUAAACAUGCAUGACUCAUUAUGUUUUGUGAAAACCCUUUGAAAAAUCAUGCUACCUUUAAGACAUGGCAUUCGCCCUAAUUGACUUACAAUUAUUAAUCAUAAGAAGCAUUCCUCAAUUUCAAGGUGACAUUCCAACAUAAAUUGCGUCUGAUUGCUUAUCUAAACAUUCUAAUGGUAGCAAAGCAUUAAAACAUAGAGACUAUUUAAAUGCAGUGAUUAAAUAAUUCAAAGCAUGCAUACAUAAUAUCAUAAGCAAUAAAAUAAAAACCACAUAUUCAUGCUAAGGCUAAUGGCCCCACCCUAGCAAAAGAAAGUUAAUUAUGCAUAUUCAACCAAAAGAGUUUUAUUGAAAUAGAAAAAGAGUGAAAACACCUUGUAGAAUAAAGUUUGAAAAUCUCUUAAACUUUGGCCAAAAUUCUCUCUCAUAUAUCACGUUGAAAAGAAGAACAUAGGGCCGGCCACAAUGGCUUAUUUAUACUACUUAGAAAAUCCAAUCCUUCCUAGAAAAUGACUUAAAAUAAAAUUAGGAGACCAAAUAAAUUGAAAUAAAUUAGAAAACAUAAUCCUAAAUUGACUAGGAUAAUCAGCUCAAAAUCUGCACAACGACGUUUUGGAUCCAAAUCUCCUCCAAAAGUGGCCCAAAAUAGCUGGAUUUAAAGUUUCAAAUAAUCUGAACACUUCUCCAGAAGGUCAUGAACCCAACAGAGGUCAUCUUAGGCUCAUAAAAUCGUAAUUAAGCCAAAAAAGUCACUUUUCAGCAUCACGCAUUGCUUUUUUAUUUCAUCGCUAGAAAAUAAUCAUUUGGUAGAAAAAACCAAAAGUUUGACACGAACGAGCUAAAGGACUCACGAACGUCCUCCAAUUUGAAUCAAUUUAAAAUUCACCCGUUUGAUCACGUUUUGCUCCAAAGGAUGUCAAAUGUUUUAUAUUGAACAAUAUAAAGUUAAGUAUCAAAAUUAUACCAAAAAUAAUUACCAAAAACAUACUAAAAUAGGAUAAAAUAUAUAAUAUGACAGACCAAAAAGCUAUAUGGUAGGUGUGCCUGCUUUGUGACUAAAGUUCGCUCUGCUUUUGACCAAAGGCUCCUCCAUGCCUUGUGAGAUUUCCAAUCAGCUUCCAGCCGCCAUAAUACGGCACUAUUAGUAUUGUAUCAUUAUAUCUAUACGAAAACUUCAGUUGAUGGGACACGGUUUACCAACAGUGAUUUCACGAAAAUACCUUUGGUUUUUCUUCCCUUUCCUGCUUUGCUUCUUAAUCUUAAACAGCGGAUUUACAAAUUUCCCCUUACUAUUUGUUGGCUGGGGGUGCCACUACCUCUUAGAAGAUACCUGUUUGUUCCAUUUGCGUCCAGAAUCUCCCCAGUUCUCUCUAUCACAAACCACGAACCAAAAAAUCCUCUCUCUAAAAAGACCACGAACCCAGCAAAAUCUCUCUCAAAACCUGUUAACCACAACACAAUCCGGUCCCGAUUCGAAGAAAGCUUUAAGCCCAGAAAAAGUUCGGUUUCAUGGUGAGUUCUCCUACCAAUUUGGGGCUUCUUUUUGUUUUUUCUUUUUCUGGGUAGCAUGCAGUCUUUUCUGAGUUAAUGGUCGAGGCUUUGUUAUAAAAAAGAGUAGUGUUUGUGGGUCAGUUAGGUACUCAAGAUUCUUGAAUUCUAGAUGUGUUGAAUUUGGUUUUUUUUUUCACUAAUUGCAUGCUUCAUAGAAUUAAUACAAAUACAAAAUGGAAAAAUGAUUUUCAUCCAUAAAUAAUAUUCAAAUACUUGAAAAGUUUGUUUUAAAUUGGGUUUGGUUUCAUUGGUUUUUCUGAUUUUGAAACUUUUGCUUUCAGGCUCCAAAGGCUUUUAGGGGCUUGUUUGGUAUCAUAUUAAAAAAAAUUCAUUAUUUCUCAAAACAUUUUUUUAAGAAUAUCUCUUAAAAACAAUUUUCUUUUCAGAUUCAAAAACUUGUUUAGUAUGAGAUUUAAAAUUAUUUUUAAAUCUUAGAUAAGAUUGCUGAAAUUAAGUAUGGUUCCUUUGCAGGGGAGUUUGUUUUGAUUUUUUGUGGAAGAAUUCCAGUUUCCAGCGCUUCGUAUUCUUCAAUUACAGGUAAAUGAAUGUUGCAUGUGAAAUUUUUUUUCAACAAAUAAAGAAAACCCUUUUGUUGGGUUGGGCGAAGCCAUAUUGCUUCUAUUGGCAUAAAACUAUUCCCACACAAUCAAAGUAUGCAGUGGUUUGAUAAUUAAGUACAGAAAAUCUUCAGCUGAUAUCCUUCUUCUCUUUGCGUGAUAAAAUCAUGUUUUUUGGAUUAUGAUGCUUAUUCUGAUUCUUAUUUGUAACCAUUGAUGAUAUAACAUUAUAGGCUUGGGGUAGUAGGUUUUGUAGUCUUUUCCCUCAAAUAUAACUGAGUACAUCAUAAUCGUUGCAUUCCUUGGUUUGUGAUUUUGUUGCUCGAGUACCGAGGUUUAUCUUUUGGUGCUCUCUGAUUGGUUCUCACAUUUGAGUCAUGUCACCAAAUCAUUAAUGUAGAUUUCAUCUUGAAAUUUUAGCUUUGGAAUAGGUAGGUGGCGAUCUCUGCUUGGCUCUAUCAGUCGAUUCACAUAACCUAAUAAUUGAAGUCUUCUUUUCCUUGGGGUCGGAAAAAUGGCAAUAAUUCUACUUGAGUUGAUAUUUCUUAAAGAAAAACUAAUGAAAAAAAGCAUCAAAUCUUUACAUUUUAAUAAAAAAUCAUCUACUAACUUUAUUUAAUGAUAAGGACAAAAGAAUUAAAAAAAAAACAUAAAAAACCCAACUUGCGCUGGGCGCGUCCCCCAACCCCCUUCCACACUCCACUUUUUUUAUUGUUUGAUACAUUAAUAUUUUAUUUAUUUAUUUUAUUUUUGCUAAAAUAAGAAAAAGAGUUCAAACUAAAUUACAUUCCCCAGUUUUAUAUUUGUGGUGUUUUUUUUCCCAAUAAUAGUCAAGAUGAUGAGAAAUUUUUCAAUGUGACCGGAGCACGGGGUGGUACACCACGUGUCUCUAUACAAGUUGUGAGAUUCUUGUGUUAAAAAAUUAAUUACACAAAAAAUAAAAAUUUUCACUACUUACAUAAUAACAUGUGGUGUGCCACUUGUGUUAUGGGCACAAGGUAAAGUUUCUCCAAGAUGACACUCAAGCUCAAAAAAUUGGAUGGAGAGUUACAUUUAUUUUUGUAGGUAUGUAAAAAAAUGUGAGGAAAUUUUAAUUUAGUAAUUGAAAACAACUUUUUAAAUAUAAUUUUCGAGAACAUAAUCUUCUCAAGGAUUUGAUCUAAUGGAUCAUUUAUGGGUUCAUCAUUUUGGGCGCAAUGAGUGCUUUUACAGGACCAAAAAGAGUAAGUUUCAAACCUUAUGAAACUGAACCAAGAAGUAAACACUAUUUAUAAAAGUUGACCAAUAAGCAGACACUAUUUAUGAAACUAAAUCAAUAAGCAGACACUAUUUAUGAAAUUGAACCAAUAAGUAUACACUAUUUAUGAACGAAAACAAGAAUUAGACAUUAUUUAUAAACUAAACCAAUAGAUGAAAAUUAUUUAUGAAACUGGACUAUACAAUAUUUACGAAACUGGACUAAGAAUUAGACAAUAUUUAUGAAACAAGAUCAACUAGGCAUUAUUUAUGAAAGUUGGCAAAUAACUAGGCACUAUUUAUGAAAUUAUACUAAUUACUAUACAUUAUUUAUAAAACUGGACCCAAUAACUAGGCUUUAUUUAUUAAACAUGAUCAAGAACUAGACACUAUUUAUGAAACAUAAUCAAGAUUUGGACACUAUUUAUGAAAUUGGACUAAUAAAUAUUGUACCGUUCAGAUACUGCAAUUUAAUACAGUGUUUGGUUUCAUGCAUGCACGGGUCUUGUGUGUUAGGUCUUUUUUAUUUUUAAUUUAUAUAUAUAUAUAUAUUAAAAUUGUAUCAUUUUCAUUAAAAUUUAAGUUAUUUUGUCCUUUUGGAAAAUGUACCCAUGUUUUGGUUCAAUAAUUUUUUUACUAUUAUUUAUGAAUGUAUAUACACAAUAUAUUGGAGAGUAUAAUUUAUCAUUUAAUAUUUUUAAUUCCACUAAUUAUGGGUUUUAUUUAAAAUCUCAUAAAUAUAAACAACUAUAACUACAAAUUUCAAUUUUCAAUUUAAGCAUAUAAUAACUUACAUAUAAAUACAUUAUUUCAUUAAUGUCAGAGACCUAGAUCAAAAGCUGAAAACCAACAAGUUUAAUAUAAGAUCCAUUCUUAGUAUAACAUGUACCCAUUUCUUUUUAUAUAAGAUCCAUUCAAUUUUUUUCUAAUCUAUAUUUUAAACUUCUAUGGGUAUAUUCUAUUUUGUUGAUCUAAGAAAAUUAUUAUUCUAAGCAAUGCACAUCUAAAACUAUGAUAUCUCAUCUUAUCAAUCUUAGAUUUAAAUAGUGACUAGAGAUUACAAAGAGAGAUGAAAACAAGUUUAAUAACAAUUAACGAUUUUGUUAUUGCAUGAUUCAGUGAGUUUCUUACUAAAUAACAUCGUAGAGGAGAAAUGAUCACUUGUAGGAAAAUGAUUCAAUGAGUUUGUUACUAGAUAACAUUUGAUUCAUUUUUUAUUUGCUCAAUAAAACGAUUAAAAAGAAAUUAGAGUGUGUAUAAGUAACAAAUUAAUGAGAGUUUGUAAACUGUAAAAAGAAAUGAGAGUAUGUAAUGGGAUCGUUAGCAACAUAAUCAAGAAUAAUCAUAUGUUUAUCUCAUUGAAUCAGCAUUUUCUAUUUGUCAAAGAAUAAGACAAACAUAAUGAUGUCUAAAUUCUGAAGUUGGAAUACAACUAUGAUUCAUUGAGUUUCUAUUUGUCAGAAAAUGUAAGUUGAUGUCUAACUUCAGAGUUGUACGGCUGUAGAGUAUGCUAUUUAUUUCAUCUUAUACUCCAUAUUUGUGCUUAGAGAUAAAGCAAAAGGAUGUAUUAGAAACUUCAUCAAGCAGCCCUUUUGUUUUAAUGGUUUUCCGGUUGAUGUUUUGUUUAAUGGUUGCUCUUUUGCGACUAAAUUGGUGGUUUCAUAUAUUAAGUUCAAUUGUUAAAAAGUAGAAUUUUUCUUCGGUUUGGACGGUAUUUUUUCAUAUAUUUUUAAUUACUUACAUAACUUGAUCGUCUUUGUUUCAACUCUGUUUGCGUUAUGAAUAGCAGCUCUUUCCAAUUUAACAUGGAUUUAUUUUUACAGUGUAAUUAUCUACAGAAAAUUUCUCUAAAGAUGCUGACAAUGGAGGGACACUGAUUCUGAACACAGUGGGCAAGUCUUUACAAGCUAAUUCCGUAGGUAAUAGAAACUACGCCUUUUCUCUCUGCUUGCAUGCUUUUUAACAUAGAGAGAAAUUGAAAUUGUACUUUAGAAUUAGCGUUCUUUUUGAUGAUCUACUGCCUGGUAAGGGUUCUUGAAAUUGUAUUUUAGAAUUAGUAUUUUUCUUGAUUCAAAACAAAAGGUCUAUAAUUUCCUUCCUACAUUCCAUGUAUGUACAUAGUAUUGCGUGUCGUAAAUAUAUUUACAAAUUUUACAUGUUUUAUACGGUUUUGAAACCCUCAACAUAAGGGACCUAUGUUUCAUUUGUAUUUAUUUUUAGAACACUUCCAGCCCAGCCAAGUCCCCUGAGCGAUGAGCUUUGGAAUCCCCCUACCAAGAAAAAAAAAAAACGGCAGCUCCAGCCCAUUCCAAUAACCUGGGCUCCCCUGGAUCCCCCACUUUUCCCCCAGGUCCGAAUUGACUGGCCCACUUUGAUGUUAGCCCUGAUUAGAAAAAUACAAAAAAUACAAAAAGUUAUAAAUUUUUUCUAUAAAUAGCUAGCCAUAUUUUUCCACUUUACAUCACAUUUCAAUAUUUUCAAAUACUUUUUAACCAAUCUUUUAUUGUCAUUUGAAAUUAAAAAUUAAAAUUAUUUAUUAUUUUAUUAAAAAAAUAUUUGGUGGAGAUGCAUUUGGACAAUUACUGUUCACUAAAGGCCGUUACUAACUUACUAUUCACUUUGACCGAUUGGGCUGCCGACGAGAAAUGACUCCAAACGCAUCUUACUUUUGUGUUAGAUAUAAUAAAGUCAGUCUUUGUUUAAUAUCAAUCCAAUAACUCUUGGUUGAAUUAGUUUAUUUGUAGCGAAAACUAACCAUGGUUUUCGUUACAUUGAUAUUGCUAGCUAAUUUGUGAUUAUCUUCUCCCAGCAAAACUCAAUUCCAUUUGCAAAGAAGAGAUCGAUCAUGGCGUUGGAGGUGGUAGGUGGAGCCGCUCUCUCAGGUUUCUUCCAGCAAGUAUUUGUGAAGUUGGAUUCUCAGGAGGUCAAGAACUUCAUUAGAGGAAAGAAAUUGACUGAUGGGUUGCUGGAGAAGUUGAGCAUCGAGUUGAUGUCUGUCGAUGCUGUUUAUUAUGAUGCCGAGCAAAAGCAAUUACGUGACCCAAGGGUGAAGCAGUGGCUGCAUAAGCUUAAAGAGGCAGUCUUACGUGCUGAGGACCUACUGGACGAGAUCAAGACAGAAGCGUUAAGGCGGAAAAUUGAAGCAGAAUUUGGAAGUUGCACAAGCAAGGUACAAGACCUCAUAUCUGCUUCUUUCCAUGCUUUUGAUGAGUCUGUAGACACCAAGAUAGAGGAAAUUCUUGAGAGGCUAAGCUCCAUUUCAAAACAAAAGGAUGUUUUCGGUUUGAAAGAACGUUGUAGUCACAGAAGCUCACAAACAUUGCCUUCAACUUCUUUAGUAGAAGGCUCUGAAGUGUAUGGAAGAAAUCAUGACACGGAAAUCAUCAUUCAAUUGUUGCUAUCAGAUGAUGUUACUUGUAAUAAGAUUGGCGUCAUUCCCAUCGUGGGCAUGGGUGGGAUCGGAAAGACCACCCUUGCUCAGCUCUUAUACAAUGAUGAGAGAGUGAAGCAGCGUUUUGAGCCCCGAGCAUGGGUAUGUGUUUCUGAUGAAUUUGACAUUGUUAAGAUCACACAAACAAUUUAUGCAUCAGUCACUUCACAAACCUGUGAUUCCACAGACCUAAACCAACUUCAAGUCAAACUCAAGGAUGCUUUGGCGGGGAAGAAGUUUCUUUUUGUUCUUGAUGAUGUUUGGAACGAGAAUUACAAUAUUUGGGAUUCCUUAAGGCGCCCCUUCGAGUCUGGAGCUUAUGGAAGUAAGAUCAUUGUCACCGCAAGGAAUGAUGGCGUUGCAUCUACGAUGGGUACUCUUCAAACCCACUAUUUAAAGCACUUACUUGAGGAAGACUGUUGGUUUCUGUUUUCCAAGCAUGCCUUCAAAGAUGCAAGUGUAGAUCCAAAUCUUGAGGAAAUUGGAAGACAAAUUGUUAGCAAGUGUAAAGGCCUUCCUUUAGCUGCAAAAUCUCUCGGUGGUCUCUUACGCUCUGAAUCAAAUGUGGAGGAAUGGGAAAAUGUGCUAAAAAGUGACAUAUGGGAGUUCUCAGAUGCAAAGAUUGACAUUCUGCCGGCUCUAUGGCUAAGCUACCAGUACUUGUCUCCGGAGCUGAGGCGUUGUUUUGCUUAUUGUUCCAUAUUUCCCAAAGAUUAUAAAUUUAACAAGUCUAAAUUUAAUUUUGCUGUGGAUGGCCGAAGAUCUUUUACAACCCCAAAAGAAGACUAUGUUGGAAGAUGUUGGAAAGAAAUACUUUGAUGAUCUAAUCUCACGGUCAUUUUUUCAAUACUCGUCUUCAAAUGAUUGUUUCAUCAUGCAUGAUCUGAUGCAUGAUUUGGCGACAUACGUGUGUGGGGAAUUUUGCAUUAGAUUGGAAGACCACGACUUCUCAUUGGACGUUGUGAGCAAGGGUCGUCAUUUUUCUUAUUUGCAAUAUUCAUCUAAUGUUGAUUAUAAGAGAUUUGGCACUAUUUAUGAAGCUAAGUAUCUGCGCACCUUCAUUCUUGGCGUUCUCUAUUCGCCGACAGUACGACUUGAUCUCAUUUUAAUGCUACAGUGUUUAAGAGUUCUCAAACUACGUGUGCAUGAUAUCACGGAGUUGCCUGAUUUGAUUAGCAACUUGAAGCAUCUACGGUACCUCGACUUGUGUAACACUCCAAUCCAGAAAUUACCGGACACGGUAUGCAGUUUGUGUAAUUUACAAACGUUGUUGUUGUCAAAUUGUACAUGUCUAGCUGAGUUGCCCACCGAUUUGAGAAGACUUAUCAACUUGCGCCAUCUUGAUUUGAGAGGUACGAAAAUAAAAAAGAUGCCCCCCCACAUGGGCAAGUUGAAGGAUCUCCAAACAUUUGGAGGUGAGUUUGUCUUGAGCAAAGAUGCUGGGGGAUACAUUGAUGAGUUAAAGGGGUUUCAGCAUUUGAGUGGAAAUCUUCAUAUUUCAGGGCUUCAAAAUAUCAAACAUGCUGAGGAUGCUUUGGAGGCCAAACUGAGGGACAAGAAGCUCAGUGAAAUACAUUUGCAAUGGGAAGGUGACACUGCUGAUUCUCAAAAUGAUAGCCGAGUGCUGGGCAACCUGCAGCCCAAUACAAAUCUAAAGGUACUGGCUAUAAAGGGAUACGGAGGUAUAAAGUUUCCAGGUUGGUUAGGAGAUGAGUCUUUCUCUAAUCUCAUCACUCUCCGACUUCAGAAUUGUGGAUAUUGCUUCUCCCUGCCAGCAUUGGGGCGACUAACGUCCCUCAAAUGGCUUGAAAUUGAUGGGUUGAAUGGAGUGGAAUCAGUGGGGUCUGAGUUGUAUGGGCCUGCAUUUAAAUCUGUGGAGUUUCUGAGUUUCCGCAAUAUGCGGGAAUGGCAAGAGUGGUGUUUCCCUGGAGGUGAAGAAGAAGAAGGCGGACAUUUUCCUAAUCUUUGCGAGCUUAGUUUGGAGAACUGUCCCAAACUAACGGGGAAAUUACCGUUAUACUACUUCCCAAGACUUGAGCGGCUAAUUUUGCAGAAAGUUAAUAUCGAAUCCCUUGCUUAUUCGCAAGAAUGCAAUAAAUUCAAAAUUGAACUCCCAUCCCUCCGUGACUUGAGAAUAUCAGAUUGCCCGAAUCUCGUAUGUUUUGUGGGUGGUGGAGUGCUGCUUGCGCCCAACUUGAAGUGGAUAUCUAUGUGCCAUUUUAAAAACUUGUGGUCAGUGCCAGAGGAGAUGCACGCCUCUCUCCCGUCUCUUCAGUCUCUGUCCAUAAAAGGGUGUAAAGAAUUUAAAUCAUUUCCGGAAGAAUCUAAAUUCCCAUCCCUCGUUGGUCUGAAGAUAAAGAAGUGCCCAGAAUUUGUGGGUUUCCCCCAUGGAGGACUGCAAGCGCCCAACUUGAAGAUGAUGGAAAUCUAUGAAUGUAACAAAUUCGGGUCACUGCCAGAGGAGAUGCACGCCUCUCUCCCGUCUCUUCAGUUUCUGUCCAUAGAAGGGUGUAAAGAAUUUAAAUCAUUUCCGGAAGAAUCUAAAUUCCCAUCCCUCUAUGAUUUGAAGAUAAUGGCAUGCCCAGAAUUUGUGGGUUUCCUCUAUGGAGGAGGACUGCAAGCGCCCAACUUGCAGACGAUGGAAAUCAAAGAAUGUAAUGAAUUCAGGUCACUGCCAGAGGAGAUGCAAGCCUCUCUCCCGUCUCUCCCGUCUCUUCAGUCUCUGUCCAUAGAAGGGUGUAAAGAAUUUAAAUCAUUUCCGGAAGAAUCUAAAUUCCCAUCCCUCAAUCAUUUGUUUAUAAUGAAUUGCCCAGAAUUCAGGUCACUGCCAAAGGAGAUGCACGCCUCUCUCCCGUCUCUUCAGUCUCUGUUCAUAGAAGGGAGUAAAGAAUUUAAAUCAUUUGCGGAAGAAUCUAAAUUCCCAUCCCUUGAAGUUUUGAAUAUAUGGGAUUGUCCAGAAUUGGAAUCAUUUCCGGAAGGGGGAUUGCCGUCUAAAUUGCGUUCACUCAGAAUCGGGAGUUGUAAAAAACUGAUGGCAAACCGUAUGCGGUGGGGUCUACAAACACUCACCUCUCUCAAAGUCUUGGAUGUCAGCUUCUCAGAAUGUGAAGAAGAAGAAACUGUCGAAUCAUUUCCAGAAGAGGGGCUGCUGCCAACCACUCUCACUUCUCUCGGAAUCUCCCAUCAUCCGAAUCUGAAAACCAUUGACGGCAAGGCGUUAAGACAAAUCAUCUCUCUCAAGAAGUUGACCAUUUUUUUUUGUCCUCGACUCCAGAGCUUGCCAGAUGAAGGGCUACCCACUUCUCUUUUUGGUCUAGAAAUCCGCGAGUGUGAUUUGCUAACACAACGGUGCCAGAGAGACACGGGAGAAUAUUGGGCCAAGAUUUCUCACAUCCCCAACGUAGUGAUUGAUGACCGAGAGAUAUGAUUUGCAAUGGUACGUAAUUCAUCAACGUGCGUUUAUAUGUUUAUUUACGAUCUGGCUGUGUAAAUUUUAAAUCAUAAACAUGUUUCAAAUGUUAAUGUUCACAUAAUAACAAAUUUUACAGGUACUCUUGUCCCAUAUAAACUUGAAAGUAUUUGCGAGAGAAAGAUACGGAGCUACAAAAAUUCCAAAUCGGUUAGGAGAUGACUUGUUCCUUCUCUCAUCUUGUUACUCUUCGACUUGUGGAUUGUGAACACAUUGUUUCAAUGCCAGCAUUGGCACAGCUACCAUAUCUCAGAAGGCUUCGGUGGUUAUAUUAUACACUUCAUAAAUAUAUGCAUAUAUAUCCUCUGUUGUGGCUAGAAACUGAUGGGUUAAAUGGAGUGGAGUUGUUCCUCUUUUCUUAUUGUGUCUUACGGUGGUUAUAUUAUACGACAGUUUGUUGUAUUGAACUAGUCUUCGGUGAAACAGGAGCUUCAACAAGUCUAUGAGCUUUAGUUUUCGAAUUUCCUUUUUCACGUUUGUUUCCAAAUUAUGUCUAUUGAGAGGUAGAUUUUGGUACUUUGUAGAAUUCGAAUUCAAAUGUUUGGUUUGUAAAAUAUGGAUGAUGAUUUCAUUUCCAUGGAACUGUGAAUCUAUGAUCAUGCUUGAAUGUUGUCAACCAGAGUAUCGAAAACCCUCUGUUGUUUACUAAUCGAUCUCAAGCAGUCUAGAUUCGAUUUGUUUAAUUAGUACUGCAAGAUGAUCUUAUCUACUAAUCAUGUCUUAUCAAAUGAUUACCAUUUCAUCAUGCCCUUAGGGAUGCAUAGAGCUUCAAAAGUUUUCAAGUUGCUGCGCAUGUGUAGGUUUGAAGUCGUGCAAUGAUAUGUACGCGAAACUUAUGAGCAAACAAAAGCAAACAACUCUUAUACAUAAAUGUCGGCUGCCAGAAAAUCUCAGUAGUACCAGAGAAGAUAAGCUUGUAAUAAAUUUCUAAUUCUCAAAACAGAGCAAACAAGAGAGAAGAUCUACAUAUAAGAACCCCUAGUUGGCCGGCACACAUGAUUUCUUUACAAGCAUGUUCUUCAUUAUGGUGCUGUGUCCGACAUGCAUAUCCAUACCAGCAAUUUUCCCUGUCUGAUGCCUCUGUGGGUAGAUGAUAUUUGGGAAUCGAAAUCCGAAACCAGUACAAGAGGAAGGAGAUCAGCUUCUCAUAACAGUAAUUGCACGUAGGUGACCCAGAAGUUAUUGCUUCAGCAUGAUUCAGGGGCAUCCUCGUUCGAUCAAUUUCUCUGUUGUUCAACUUUGCAAGCCAUUGUGCAAUAACAUCCUCCAAUGUUCUCCCAACUGUGCAAUACACUUCUCAGUGAUAACUUGUUCAUGUCGAUUGUUGUCAUGAGUUGAAGUAGGGAUUCUAGAGAUGGUCCGUUCUGAGAUUGGUUUAAAAGUCUUGCGACUGCACACACGAUGAGAAUCACUUUGUGAAACCCCUUGCGCAUGCCAUUAUGUACCGCAAAAUGCCUUAUCACAUCCUAAACAGUGUUGAGGUACACUGUUAUUGGUGCACGAAGGCAUCAUUCCUCCGCAUGCUUGACAUUGCAGAUGGAUAGUGGUUUGAUUGCAGCAGAACCCACCAUAUUCAGUACCAGAUUGAGGGCAUGGAUUUGAUGGAUUAUCAGCUUCUUCAUCCACCUGGGAGCGAGCCCUUUUUACAACAAGAUUAGAUUGUAUUGUUGCAUAAGAGUCUCAAAUUGCCACUUCAUCACUGGUGCGCUUUAGUGAAGAAUCAGCUUUUAGUAUUUCAUCCGCAACGUUAAGCAACAAAUGAUUCUUCCAACAAACUGUACAACUGCUCAACACUAGGGACAGAGUACACUUGAACGUUUCUCCUGUGAUCUCUUUAACCACUCCGAGAAGCACCCGUUACAGAAAUUAUGGAAGCAAGGAGCAACGGUAACUACAUCAUGCCAUAUGUUCAAGCAAAUGCAGCAUAUUGCAUGCUCGGCAUCCAUAGAAAUCUUUAACUUCUUCUGACAACUUUCAGGACCAGGAUCUCUGAGCAAGCUACAAUCUCAUAUGAACUAAUCUCAACAUCUGGAUAUCUCGAGUAUGAUGGAACGAGCUUGGCCCAGAAUUCUUCACAGGGUUUUGCACCCGAGCUCUCUCCAACUUCUGCCAUCCCUUGAAUAUAUUCACAAAGGACCCAGGAACCUUUAAUUUAGAUCUCAAAGAUAAGUAACUGGCCAUUGUUAUGUUCAAUUAAAAAGAAACAAAAACUUAUAUAUUCAACUAUUUAUGAGCAACAGGGCAAUUAUAAUUUCUAAUCAUCAAACAAAAUCUUUACCGCUAAUUAGAUAAUUCAUCCAAGUACGAAAAGAAAACAGAUUUGCACUCAAACAAGACAGAUUCAUGAAAUAUGCUAUGGUAAUGCCCCAAACAUUUCAACACCGAUAAACAUAUCAACUUCAUGUUUCAGACAUCCUACAACAACAACAACAACAAUAAAGCUUUUUCCUACUAAGUGAGAUCGGCUAAUGUUUCAGGCAUCCUACAAGUACAUAAAUUGGGUCGUAACAAUUCCAACUAAACGUAAAAGCUCUUAACUCGAAGCAUAACGACAUACUAGCAAAAUUCAUGGAAGAUAGUAAGUGCCAAUUAACAAGAGAGUCAAAAAGGCUUGAGGAGAAGUGGUCCCCAGCAGCGGCAUCAUUUCUGGCCAGAAAAGGUUCAUUCUAGUAAUAUAAUUUAUACCAUAGAACACAUACAAACGGAUUAUGGGGUUUUGUUUUCAGACUCGAAUGCCGUUAUCUUCCGAAGUACAGCCAAUCUUCUAAAUCAGGUUCAAUUGUGCCUCAAAUACGCAACUGUCAGAGUUAUUUUAUAUAUUGUCUUGCACCAUUUCCUUCUCUACUCAUGGUACAAGAAAUCAGGAUUCAAUUUUGAAUCCUUGUGCAGGUAUAUUUUUUUCAGAUCACCAACUACUACUACUACACUUGAGGGACAAUUAAACAAUCGUAUUCUCAAAUCCAUACAAAAAAAUAAAAAUCAUGUCAAUUGUAACAGUUAGGACUUAGAAAUUUCGAUUUCUAUGGUACAUAGACUGUUAAUCUAAAUCUAAUAGAAUAUAGAUGAAACUGAAAAACUUAUUUCACCAUGUGAAUUCAAUUGCUUUGAUUGAUUUCUAAAUAAUUUAGAAACGGGUGUGAUAAAUUGUGAGUUACGAUUUGAAAAUCCGCAGCAGAGCGCGGACAUAUUUGCUAGUAUAUAUUAGUUUAUGAAUAAUUGGCAGGUUUCACCUAGGAAAACUGAAAACAAUAGCCAAAUUUAAUCCCAUGGAAAAUGAAAGAAAGUUGGCAACUUUAGCCAAAGUUUGAUCCUUUAACCCCCUCCCAGUAACAUUUGAACCAAUUCGAGCAGUAAUUAAACUCACAAAUUCUAGAGAAUCUUACAAGUGAACAAGAUUUACCAAAAUUUUCAGAUUUGUACACAAAAUAGCCAGGCAUAACAGGAAAUCAUAAAUACCAAUAAUUUAAUAAACAAGAAAAAAGUGAUGAGAAAAAAGAAAUACCUGUUGAGAGGAAAAAAAAGAUGGGAGAUGAGAUGGGUAAUGUGGGAUUCAGUGAAAGUGCCACUAACAGAUGCGAAGAAGCAAAAUGUCUCGUUCUUUUUAAAGAAGGAGAUGAUGAAACUUGUUCAGCAAAGUGAGUACGGAAGAAGCAUCUGUUUAAAUUAAUAAACAAUGAAAAUUUAGAGAGAGAGAGAGAGAGAGAGAUAAUUGAAGAGUGGUGGGCUUGUUAGGACUGGGCCUGCUAAUGCUUUGUUAUAGUGGGCUUAGUAUUCUUGUGUUUAAAAAAUAAAAAUAAUAAUAAAUAAUAAUAAUAAUAACUGUUUUGCUGUGAUGUGAGAAAUCAAGAAUAAGUCGAGUGUAAAAUCAAACAGUUGAUUGUUAGGUAAACUGUUUUUUGUAAAAGUGCGUAUAAUUUCUUGGGAUAAGGAUGGUGAAGAUUAUACGGAGUGGAGGCUGAGAGCUUUCUUCUCCAAGUUUGGCAAGGUUGGAGAAAAUGCUCUUUAAGAGCAGAGGUAGGGCAGAAAUUUUCAUGGCGACAAUGGAUGCAGCCAUGAAGGCAAGGGAAACUCUGCCCGGUGAUCGUUCUAAUUUGUUCCAGGUUUCAACACAUGACGGUUCGCGAAAAGUUUGAAGGGCAAAAGCAUCAAUGAUUAACUAGGGUUUCAAAAUUGGCUUGUGUAUGCCAUUACUUUUAGUUUUGGUUUGGGUAAAACGUUAAGUACAUUCCCAUCAUCUGAUAUAAUUUACAGUUCCUAACAUUAGAUCUUUUCACUUUAUCAAACUCACAUUAUUCGUACAAAAAGACGACUCACCUCAACUCAUGACUAAAAUUGCACGACAUUGGGGACAGAGUACACUUGAACGUUUAUGGAGUGAUUUCUUCCAAUAAAGAGAGAGAGAGAGAGAGAGAGAGAGCUAAUUGAAGAGUGGUGGGCUUGUUAGGACUGGGCCUGCUAAUGUUUUGUUGUAGUGGGCUUGGUAUUUUUGUGUUGAAAAAAUCACGUGUAGACACGUGUCUAAGUUUUGAUUAAAAAAAUCAAAACUUGAACAAGUGUCCACCCGGGAAUGGGUGUAAGCAGGACCGGCUGCUGAAUUUUCAGCAGCCAAGUCUUGUUCAAUUAAUAAACAAUGAAAAUUUUAAAACAUAGAGAGAGAGAGAGAUAAUUUAAGAGUGGUGGGCUUGUUAGGACUGGGUCUGCUAGUACUUUGUUGUAGUGGGCUUGGUAUUCUUGUGUUUAAAAAAUAAAAAUAAUAAAAAAUAAUUAAAAAAAAAAACUGUUUUGCUGUGAUAUGAGAAAUCGAGAAUAAGUCGAGUGUAAAAUCAAACAGUUGAUUGUUAGGUAAACCUUUUUUUUUGUAAAAGUGCGUAUAGUUUCUUGGGACAAGGAUGGUGAAGAUUAUAUGGAGAGGAGGCUGAGAGCUUUCAUCUCCAAGUUUGGCGAGGUUGAAGAAAAUGCUCUUUAAGAACAGAGGUAGGGCAUAAAUUUUCAUGGCGACCAUAGAUUUAAAAAUCGAUAAUAUCGGCGAUAUUUCGCCGAUAUUAUCGUUUUUUUUCAUAUCACGAUAUUUCGUGAGUAUUCCUUUAAUUUUCGUUAAUAUAUCGUGAUAAUAUCGAUAUUAUGAAUAAUAUCGCGAGAUGAACCUAAAAAUAUUUGAAAAAUUCUGAAAAGUCUCAAACAUGCACAUAAAGGGGUUCGAACCCCUCCCAUUUAACUCCUUCAGCGACUUGACCACCAUACCACUUACGUUUUUAUGAAGACAUGCUAAACUAUUUAUAUAUAUGGUUUUGUUUUGAAUUCUUUUUGCAAGAAACAAAUUUGCACAUAUUCCAAAUUUUUUGUGGUAUUAUAUUUUAAAUUGUGUCAAUUAAUUACUUAGUCAAUGGCAUGUGGUUUUUAAUUUUUCUAUUUUUUAUUUGGUCACUUACAUGUAUGGUUGGAAAAAAUUCCCGAAAAUCCCAAACCAAACCGAAAAAAGUCCCAAACCAAAACCAUCCCGAAAAAUACCGAAAUUUUCGAUAUGGGAUUGGUUUCCAUAUCCCAUUUGUUUGGUAAUCCUGAAAUCCCGAAAAAUACCGAAGUAUUCGGUUUCCUAUUGACUUUUGGGUUUCGGUUCUUGAAAGUCAUUGCUAUGGUUGCUGACUACUCUUCACAAUACACUUACUCUACACAUAGUGAUGAUGAAGAUAGUGAAAAUUUUGAACCUCAUAGGAACUCUAUGUGGUACUUAGUCACUCAUGUAUCUUACCAUGCAAUGUAUAAAGUGUAAAAUAUUGUACUAAUUCAUUAUAUAUAAACGAUUAUGGUGUGUUUAAACUUCUUUCAUUAAUUAUUAUAUAUUUUCUACACUCACAAUGUUUGCCAGCUCGCUAUAUAAUCAACUUAAAUCAGUUAAAUCCAUCAUGCAAUGCAUUUCCUUCCAAUUUUUUAUGAUAAAUUAAUAGAUAAUUGACUAAAUAAACAUCCUGUAAAGUUUCAAUAAAAAUUUUCAAGUUUUUCUUACAAUUUCCGUGGUUUCCAUGUAAUUUUUAUCGAUAUCGAUAUUAUCCCGAUAUUUCCAUCGAUAUUUCCGUGUUUUCGGACUACCGAUAUUUCCGAUAUUACCGAUAUUUUCUUCCUUGAUGGCGACAAUGGAUGCAGCCAUGAAGGCAACGGAAACUCUGCUAGGUGAUCAUCUAAUUUGUUCCAGGUUUCAACACAUGACGGUUCGCGAAAAGUUUGAAUGGCAAAAGCAGCAAUGAUUAACUAGGGUUUCAAAAUUGGCUUGUGUAUGCCAUUACUUUUAGUUUUGGUUUGGGUAAAACGUUAAGUACAUUCCCAUCAUCUGAUAUAAUUUACAGUUCCUAACAUUAGAUCUUUUCACUUUAUCAAACUCACAUUAUUCGUACAAAAAGACGACUCACCUCAACUCACAACUAAAAUUGCACGACAUUGGGGACAUAGUACACUUGAACGUUUUUGGAGUGAUUUCUUCCAAUAAAGAUAUAGGACAGACUAAUGGUAUAAUGUGCAUCCGACAUAUUAUAUAGCACCCCACUUACAUGACUUGGAGGGAUUUACUUUCCACUUAGCAGAUCAAGAGCAACAUUGCCAAAGCUAUAAACUACACUUUCUGGAGUGACGCUUCCCACAAUUUAAAUAAACGACCAGUAAAGUCAACAUAUCUCAAGCAGAAAAAGUUCUUUAGAUAUAGUAACAACAAAAAUGAUCAAACAGAUGAGUAGCAUUUAUUUAGACUAGAAAAGUUAUUACCUUCUUAAAUAUUCAGGCCAAAACAUGAAAGGCAAGGGUCACCACUCACCACCCUGCAAGUCCAUCCAAACGCUACAUUAUCACCCUAAAAAAUGGUAAUGGGCACGGACAUGACUGAAAAUACAUAUAUUUUUAACUAAGAUGAUCAAAUCUGAAAAAGGAAUACCUCGUCAAAGAGAACCCUAUAAGCAUUCAAAUCAUGGUAUAACAGACGACCCUUUAGUACUACGAUAAUCUAAAUGAAAGGCCACUAAUUCUCAAUUUGGAGGAACAAAAACUCAGACAUUGAAUAGAUUGCUUAUGCAAAUCUUGAGAAAUUAGCAGUAUGAAGACAAGCACAGUACAUCCACACUAGAUAGAAGACUACACUAAAAAGUAAACACCACACCCUCGCCACGACUUCUCUAAAUGAAAGGCAAUGUUAAACAUCAUCUAGGAUUAGCAAUACUACCAGGUAAGAUUAAUGGCCUAACCGUUUCAUGUUAUACAAAACUAAUGUCAACGCCAUCUUGCACUUCAUUGAGACGCGAGCGAGGAACACCAGGGAAGAAUGAGAGAUGAUGGAGAAAUUUCGAGGGAGAAGAGGAAAGCAUCGAGAUCGGAGAGCUGAGAGAGGUGCUGGUACGGUAGUAGUGGAUCUUGGCGCGGGCGAGCGAGGCAAGAGAUAGUGGUUUAAGCUGGAGAUGUUUAUUUGGAAGAACCAAACCCGUUUGAGCCGAUGCUGUAGCAGAUUGAACCGGUUCUAAGCAGACCUCGCCAAAUCUCAGCCAUCAGAUUGCUGUCCGGACGAUCGCACACUUUGUCCGCAACUUAGACACACCCUUGCAGUUAUAGCACCAAGGUGGGCCUAAAAGGCCAGAUACAGCAGUGGGCCUGGAAGCAAAGGGGCUGAGAAGAAUUGAACAGAAACUGGGCCAAACAGGAGCAAAGGGCUGCGCCAGUUGCUGUGGAUGGGAAUGUUGCUGAUGAUGCUGGACUGGACCCGCAGCAUUCAAGGGCUGCGCUAGAUGCUCAAGCUGCUCGGCAGACAGAUGCCAGGUUCCACGACCAACACCGCGUGAAUUAUUGACAAAAUUUCCAUUUGCAAAGAAAAGAUUGAUCAUGGCGUUGAAGAUUUUUACUUCUGCAGAUCCUCCUGGGUCUUUGAUUAGUUGUUAUACAUUCUCUUAACUCUGUCACAAAAAUUCCAUUUGCAAAGAAAAGACUGAUCAUGGCGUUGGCGGUGGUAGGUGGAGCCGCUCUCUCGGGUUUCUUCCAGCAAGUAUUUGUGAAGUUGGAUUCUCAGGAGGUCAGGAACUUCAUCAGAGGAAAGAAACUGACUGAGGGUUGCUCAAGAAGUUGAGGAUCAAGUUGAUGUCUGUUGGUGCUGUUUAUGAUGAUGCCGAGCAAAAGUAAUUACGUAACCCACAUGUGAGGCUGUGGCUACACGAGCUUAAAGAGGCAGUCCUUGAUGCUGAGGACCUACUGGACGAGAUCAAGACAGAAGCGUUGAGGCAAAAAAUUGAAGCUGAAUUUGGAAGUAGCACAAGACCUCAUCUCUGCUUCUUUCCAUGCUUUUGAUGAGUCUGUAGACAGCAAAAUAGAGGAAAUUCUUGAGAGGCUAAGCUUCAUUGUAGAACAAAGAGAUGCCCUUGAUUUGAAAAGAGGUAGUAGACACAAAAUCUCACAAACAUUGCUUUCAGCUUCUUUAGUAGAAGGCUCUGAUGUGUAUGGAAGAGAUCAUGAGAAGGAAACCAUCAUUCAAUUGUUGCUAUCAUGAUGUCACUUGUAGUAAGAUUGGCAUUAUUCCCAUUGUGGGCAUGGGUGGGAUCGGAAAGACCACCCUUGCUCAGCUCUUAUACAAUGAUGAUAGAGUGCAACAGCAUUUUGAACUCCAGGCAUGGGUUUGUGUUUCUGAUGAAUUUGACGUUGUUAAGAUCAUACAAACAAUUUAUGCAUCAGUCACUUCACGAACCUGUGAUACCACAGACCUAAACCAGCUUCAGGUCAAACUCAAAGAUGCUUUGGCGGGGAAGAAGUUUCUUUUUGUUCUUGAUGAUGUUUGGAACGAGAAUUACAAUAUUUGGGAUUCCUUAAAACGCCCCUUAGAGUCUGGAGCUCAUGGAAGUAAGAUCAUUGUCACCGCACGGAAUCAUGGUGUUGCAUCUACGAUGGGUACUCUUCAAACCCACUAUUUAGAGCACUUACUUGACGAAGACUGUUGGUCUUUAUUUGCAAACCAUGCCUUCAAAGAUACAAGUGUAAUUGUAGAUCCAAAUCUUGAGGUAAUUGGCAGACAAAUUGUUAGCAAGUGUAAAGGCCUUCCUUUAGCUGCAAAAUCUCUCGGUGGUCUCUUACGCUCUGAACCAAAUGUGGAGGAAUGGGAAAAUGUGCUAAAAAGUGACAUAUGGGAGUUGUCAGAUGCAAAGAUUGAAAUUUUGCCGGCUCUAUGGCUAAGCUACCAGUACUUGUCUCCAGUGCUGAAGCAUUGUUUUGCUUAUUGUUCGAUAUUUCCCAAAGAUUAUGAAUUUGACAAGUCUGAAUUAAUUUUAUUGUGGAUGGCCGAAGAUCUUUUACAACCCCAAAAUAAGACUAGGUUGGAAGAUGUUGGAAGGAAAUACUUUGAUGAUCUAACCUCACGGUCAUUUUUUCAAUACUCGUGUUCAAAUGAUUGUUUCAUCAUGCAUGAUCUGAUGCAUGAUUUGGCGACUUAUGUAUGUGGGAAAUUUUGCUUUAGAUUGGAAGACCACGACUUCUCAUUGGAUGUUGUAAGCAAGCGUCGUCAUUUUUCUUAUAUGCAAUAUUCAUCUAAUGUUGAUUCUAAAAGAUUUGACACUAUUUAUGAAGCUAAGUAUCUGCGCACCUUCAUUCUUGGCGAUCUCUAUUCAUUGCCGACGGUACGACUUGAUCACCUUUUAAUGCUACAGUGUUUAAGAGUUGUCAAACUCCGAGGGGAAGAUAUCAGUGAGUUGCCUGAUUCGAUUAGCAACUUGAAGCAUCUACGGUACCUCGACUUGUGUGACACUCUAAUAAUGGAAUUACCUUACACGGUAUGCAGUUUGUAUAAUUUACAAAUGUUGUUGUUGUCAAAUUGUACAUGUCUAGCUAAGUUGCCCACCGAUUUGAGAAGACUUAUCAACUUGCGCCAUCUUGAUUUGAGACGUACGAAAAUAAAAAAGAUGCCCCCCCAUAUGGGCAAGUUGAAAGAUCUCCAAACAUUUGGAGGUGAGUUUGUCUUGAGCAAAGAUGUCGGGGGAAACAUUGAUGAGUUAAAGGGGUUUCAGCAUUUGAGUGGAAAUCUUCAUAUUUCAGGGCUUCAAAAUAUCACAUGUGCUGAGGAUGCUUUGGAGGCCAAACUGAGGGACAAGAAGCUCAUUGAAAUACAUUUGAAAUGGGAAGGUGACGCUAUCGAUUCUCAAAACGAUAGCCGAGUGCUGGGCAACCUGCAGCCCAAUAUAAACCUAAAAGUACUGGCUAUUGAAGGAUACGGAGGUACAAAGUUUCCAGGUUGGUUAGGAGAUGAGUCUUUCUCUAAUCUCGUCUCUCUACGACUUGAAACUUGUGGAUAUUGUUUGUCCCUGCCAGCAUUGGGGCAGCUGCCCUCCCUCAAAGGGCUUGAAAUUGAUGGGUUGAAUGGAGUGGAAUCAGUGGGGUCUGAGUUUUAUGGGGGAAUUAAACCUGCAUUUAAAUCUUUGGAGUUUCUGAGUUUCUGCAAUAUGCUGGCAUGGCAAGAGUGGUGUUUCCCUGGAGGUGAAGAAGAAGAAGGUGGACAUUUUCCUAAUCUUUGCAAGCUUCGUCUGCACUGCUGUCCCAAACUAACGGGGAAAAUACCGUUAGACUACUUUCCAAGACUUGAGGGGCUAAGUUUGCAUGAAGUUAAUGUCGAAUCCCUUGCUUGUUCGCAAGAGUGCAAUAAAUUCAAUAUUGAACUCCCAUCCCUCCGUGAGUUGGAAAUAUUAGAUUGCCCGAAUCUGGUAUGUUUUGUGGGUGGUGGAGUACUGCUUGCGCCCAACUUGAAGAUGAUAUUUGUGUUCACUUCUAAAAACAUGUGGUCGGUGCCAGAGGAGAUGCACGCCUCUCUCCCGUCUCUUCAGACUCUGUACAUACAAGGGUGUAAAGAAUUUGUGGGUUUCCCCCAUGAUGGAGGACUGCAAGCGCCCAACUUGAAGAAGAUGGAAAUCAAAGAAUGUAACAAAUUCAAGUCACUGUCAAAGGAGAUGCACAGCUCUCUCCCUUCUCUUCAGUCUCUAUCCAUAGAAGGGUGUAAAGAAUUUAAAUCAUUUCCGGAAGAAUCUAAAUUCCCACCCCUCGAUGAUUUGAAGAUAAUGGAGUGCCCAGAAUUUGUGGGUUUCCCCCAUGGAGGAGGACUGCAAGCGCCCAACUUGAAGAAGAUGGAAAUCAAAGGAUGUAACAAAUUCAGGUCACUGCCAGAGGAGAUGCAAAUCUCUCUCCCGUCUAUCAAGUCUUUGUUCAUAUUUGAAUCUCCAGAAUUGGAAUCAUUUCCGGAAGGGGGAUUGCCGUCUAAAUUCCGGUCACUCGAAAUCUGGAGUUGUAAAAAACUGAUGGCAAACCGUAUGCGGUGGGGUCUACAAACACUCACCUCUCUCAAACACUUGGCUGUCAACUUCUCAGAAUGUGAAGAAGAAGAAAUUGUCGAAUCAUUUCCAGAAGAGGGGCUGCUGCCAACCACUCUCACUUCUCUUAGAAUCUCCCAUCUUCCGAAUCUGAGAACCAUUGACGGCAAGGCGUUAGGACACCUCAUCUCUCUCGAGAUGUUGGAUAUAUCUUUUUGUCCUCAACUCCAGAGUUUGCCAGAUGAAGGGCUACCCGCUUCUCUUUCUCGUCUGCAAAUCUUCCAGUGUGAUUUGCUUACACACCGGUGCCAGAGAGACGCUGGAGAAGAUUGGGCCAAGAUUUCUCACAUCCCCACAUAUGGAUUGAUCACCGAAAGAUAUGAUUUGCAAUGGUACGUAAUUCGUCAACGUGCGUUUAUGUGUUUAUUUACUAUCUGGCUCUGUGAAUUUAAAUCAUAAACAUGUUUCAAAUGUUAAUAUUCACGUAAUAACAAAUUUUACAGGUACUCAUGACCCAUAUAAACUUGAAAGUAUUUGUGAUAGAAAGAUAUGGAGCUACAAAAAUUCCAAAUCUGUUAGGAGAUGACUCGUUCGUUCUCUCAUCUUGUUACUCUUCGACUUGUGGAUUGUGAAUAUUGUUUUUCAAUGCCAGCAUUGGCACAGCUACCGUCUUCUCAGCAGGCUUGAAACUGAUGGGUUAAAUGGAGUGGAAGUGAUUCAGAGUUGGUUCUACUCUCCCUCUUUUCUUACUGUGUCUUAUGGUGGUUCUAUUAUACGACAAUUUGUUGUAUCGAACUAGUCGUCGAUGAAAAAGGAGCUUCAACAAGUUUAUGAGCUCUAGUUUCCGAAUUUCCUUUUUCAAGUUUGUUUCCAAAUUGUGUCUAUUGAGAGGUAGAUUUUGGUACUUUGUGGAAUUCAAAUUCAAACGUUUGGUUUGUAAAAUAUGGAUGAUGAUUUCGUUUGGAACUGUGAAUCUAUGAUCAUGCAUGAAUGUUGUAAGACCAGAGUAUCGAAAACCCUCUGUUGUUUACUAAUCGAUCUCAAGCGGUGUAAAUUUGACUUGUUUAAUUAGUAUUGCCAAGAUGAUCCUAUCUGUUAAUCAUGUCUCAUCAAAUGAUUACCAUUUCAUCAUGCCCUUAGGGAUGCAUAGAGCUACAAAAGUUUUCAAGUUGCUUCGCAUGUGUAGGUUUGGAGUCGUGAAAUGAUAUGUACCUAAAAAUUAUGAGCAAACAAAAUUACACAACUCAUAAUCAUAAAUUUUGGCUGCCGGAAAGUCUCGGUGAUAAAUUUCUAAUUCUCAAAACAGACAAAACGAGAGCAAGGAAAUCCACAUAUUAGUACCCCUAGUUGGCCUGCACACAUGAAUUCUUUUACGAGCAUGUUCUAGAGAAUGUUACAAGUGAACAAGAUUUACCAAAAUUUCCAGACUUGUACACAAAAUAUCCAGGCAUAACAGGAAAUCAUAAAUACCAAUAAUUUAAUAAACAAGAAAAAAAUGAUGAGAAAAAAGAAAUACCUGUUGAGAGGGAAAAAAAUGGAUGGGAGAUGAGAUGGGUAAUUGUGGGAUUCAGUGAAAGUGCCACUGACAGAUGCCGAAGAAAGCUCUGUUUAAAGAAGGAGAUGAUGAAACUUGUUCAGCAAAGUGAGCACGGAAGAAGGCUCUGUUUAAAUUAAUAAACAAUGAAAAUUUAAAAAAAAAGAGAGAGAAUUAAAGAGUGAAGGGCUUGUUAGGACUGGGCCUGCUAAUGGCAGGGACGAAGCCAGAGAUUAGGGUGAAUGGGGGCAUCCUCAAACAACAAAGUCAUAAUUAAAAAACUCAAGAAUUUACUAAACACAAUACUUAUAUAUUAACCCAUAAAGUUUUUCAUACAACAAUCCCUUACAAUAUCCCUCGACGCUUUUUCAUGUUCUGAAAGCGUUGCAUGACAACAUCAUUACCAAUGCCAUCAAAUUUCUCUCUCUCUAUAAAAAUAAUCAUGUUGUCAUUCAUCCAUUGAUCUCCUAUCCGAUUUCUCAAUCGAUUCUUCAGAAUUUUCAUGGCCAAAAAUGCUCUUUCAACAAUUGCAGUAACAACUGGAAGAGUUAGUGCUAAUGUCACAAGCAAGUAAACCAGCAAAUACACCUUGUGUUUCUUGCAUUGAACCAUUGUUUUUGCAAGAUUUCCAAUCUCUUUUAAACCUGAAAACUCAAUGCUAGACCGUAUAUCCAAAAUGUAAGUCUCAAGUUGAAUCUUAAAUAUCACCAGCUCAUUCAUAGAGAAGUCUUUAGGAUAAAACUGGGCAAGACGCAAUAGUUUUGGCUAUCAAAAGCAAAGAAAGAGUCGGCUGGACAUAAACAUGCCAAACAAAGAAGUAACUUAGUGUUGGUCUCAUUGUAACGAUUAUUUAGUUCUUGAAGCUGCCAAUCCAAAACAACAUAAAAUAUCCCAACACAAUAAUAAUGCAUAUUUGUGACUGCUUGUGCUUUUCGUUGCCCUCGCCUUCGAGAAAGAAACAUAUCAUUCAUAUUAGGCACAUCAAUAUCAUGUUUAAGACAAAAUUCUGAGACUUCACUAAGUAAACAAUCCCAACCACUUUUCCUCAUUAUCUCCAACCUUUGCUUACAAACUUCAACCAACUUUAUGGCAUUUACAAUAUCCUGAUCCUUCCUUUGCAAUGCUUGUGAUAAUUCAUUGGUUAUUCCUAGUAUAUCUUUCAUCAAGUGUAGAUUAAAAACAAAAUCAAAUGAUUGCAUGGAAUCCAAUAAAUUAUUCGCUUCACAUCUUUGUUGAGAGCUUACUCCAUCAUCUGUUAUUGCUUCAAGUACAUCAAGUAUGGAUGAAAACAUAGUCAUUAUACUUUACCAAAGUGUGAACCCCAACGUGUUUCUCCAGCACGUUUCAAAGUAGUUUCUUGAUUUUUGCCUUUGCCACUUAUAAACUCACCAUUGUUUAGUGCUUUAAUAAAUUGCUUCUCUCGAAGAAGAUCACAACGCUUCGAUGAAGCUCCAACAACAUUUACCAAAAUAGUAACUAUAAUAAAAAGAGACUCAAUUUGGAUGUUCUUCUUUGCCACAGCUACAAGAGCUAAUUGAAGUUGAUGUGCAAAGCAAUGAAUAUAAUAGGCACAACCACUUUCUUUCAUAAUAAGAGCUUUAAGACCAUUGAACUCACCUUGCAUAUUGUUGGCCCCAUCAUAACAUUGCCCACGCAACCUAAACAUGCUCAAUUUAUGCCUAGAAAAUACAUCAUCAAUGGUUUCCUUAAGUGAGAGAGCAGUAGUACUAGUAACAUGCUCAAUGCCAAUAAAACGCUUAACAUGCCCAUUCUUGUCCACAUAACGCAAUACAAUAGCCAUUUGUUCCUUCGUUGAUACGUCGCGAGAUUCAUCAAUCAAAAUAGAGAACAACGAAGUGCCAACGUCUUCAAUAAUAGCCUUGAUCGUCUCAGUUGCACAAGCAUUUACAAUGUCUUUUUGAAUAUCUGGUGAUGUCAAUUUGUGAUUAUCCGGAGCAUUUUUCAAAGUAACGGCUUUCACAUCCUCAUUGUGGUCGGCAAGAAACUGUGGAAGCUCAAGAAAGUUUCCAUGGUUGCUUGAACGUUCAGAUUCAUCAUUACCACGAAAUGCAAGCCCUUGUCUCAAAAGAAAUCAACAACAAUCAAUUGAUGCAUUCAACCGAGCUCUAUAUUGAAUUCGAGCUUCAUCAUGAGUUUUAGAGAAAAAAGACUGGAUAUGUUGCUUUUGACUCCUUAAAGCUUCAAAAUUACUCCAUGCUUGAUUGUGUGCACUAUUGACGCCUCCAAUAUGAGUUAGAAGUCUUUCUUUCUUCUUCCAGUUAGAAAAUCCUUCGCCAACAAAGAAAUCAACACCUGCUUGUUCUCCAAUGUUUGGUUUAAAAAGGUAGCAACACAGAUAAAAGGCAACAUCUUUUUCUACACUAUAUUCCAACCAAGUAGGAAAAUCAUCAAACCAAGCAGGGUUGAAUCGUCUUUGCGUGUCUCCAUAUUUCUUGUAAGGAAAAUUAUGGGUUUUAGGUUGUUGAGGACCAGCUAGCACAUACGCUGUUCGUACUUGAUCUCGAAUAUUAGGAUUGUAAUCCAAAAUUAGAAUUCGCUUACCAGGAUCUGAUGGAAGAUUUGAUAAAAUAAAUUAUGUACUAUCUUGUCCAUGACCAUGAGUAUCAUUAUUUUUCUCAAUAACUGGGGAUGGCGGCAUUGAUAUUUUUUUGAAAAACCUCUCCAUGAUGUUUCAGUCUGCAAAGUCAUUCAAAUUGAUGCCAAUAACAUAUAAGGUUCAUACAUAAUUUAUAGAAUAAAAAUCUCAAUAAAAAUCCCAUCUUUUCUAACCUUCAGGAUGAAAACACAUGAGAAACAAGUUAGAUAUGCAACUGAAACAUUUUGAAACCAAGUCGUUAAAGAAAACUUAUGUAAAACUUUAACCUUAUAACAUACUACAUGGGACAUUUUGAUUAACAUAGCAAUCUAAUCAAACCAAGAUCCAACCAAGGCAACAAUUCAAUUAACCAAUACCAAUAAGCAUACAAAUUAUUCAACAAAUAAACAUUUAAUUCAACUAAUCAUAUGAAUAAAUGUAUACCCAUAUCCAUUUCAUAAUUUCAUUCAUCAAUAAUCAUAGAAUUCAUAUCAAUAAUCAAUAAGUCAAUAACCAUAUUAGUGCAUGACCAUAUCCAUAUGAUUCUAUAUUUCUAUACCAAUUAAACAAAAAUUCGUCUUAAAUAAUUAAUUAGGGUUAGGGAUUAUUAUAGAUUUAGGAAUUAAAAAAUUUACCUAAAUAUAUAUAUGUCGGCUAGCGAAUGGCUGGCUGGGGUGGCUGGGGGAAGAGCAACUUUGCUCCUGUUCCGUAACUUCCGUUCCGUUUCAAGCUGUUGGCGUUGGGGGAAGAGCAGCACCACGCUGCUCUGCUCUCUGAUUGGAGCCGCAAAGGCUAAUAAAAAUGAAAUAAAGAGAUGGAAGGAAUGGGAGUCUGGGACUGUGUGGACAAAUGGUCCCCCACUAUAACAUAACUUUUUUUUUUCCAAACAUAUACGAAACGACGUCGUUUUGUUUACAUUUUUUUAAUUUUUUUUACCAGGACUAAAACGACGUCUUUUUGGCCUGGUUUUGAAAAAAAAAAAACAAAGACCCAGCUCUACUUCUGCAGAACCAGAAACAUCUUGGUGGGGGCUUUGCUACUGCAGAACCAGAUCAGUUUGAGCAGCAUGCCAGCAUUAGAAAAACUUCAAUGGGGGCAUCCGCCCCUAGGCCCAUGGUAGCUCCGCCCUUGGCUAAUGGUUUGUUGUAGUGGGCUUGGUAUUCUAGUAUUUUAAGGGAAGGAAAAAAAAAAGACUGUUUUGCUGUUUUGUGAGAAAACGAGAAUAAGUUGGACGUAAAAUAAAACAGUUGAUUGUUUGGUAAACUUUUUCUUGUAAAAGUGUUUAUAGUUUCUUGGGACGAGAAUGGUGAAGAUUAUACGGAAAGGCUGAGAGCUUUCUUCUCCAAGUUUGGCAAGGUUGAAGAAAAUGCUCUUUAAGAACAAAGGUCGAGCGGAAAUUUUCAUGAUGACAACGGAUGCAGCCAUGAAGGCAAGGAAAACUCCGCCCGGUGAUCGUUUUAAUCUGUUCCCGAUUUCAACAUAUGACGGCGCUGUUCGCGAAAAGUUUGAAAGGCAAAAGCAACAAUGAUUACUAGGGUUUCAAAAUUUGCUUGUGUAUGCCAUUACCUUUAGUUUUGGUUUGGUUAAAACGUUAACAUUCCCAUCAUUGUUAUGAUCCCACAUCGACUACACUUAUAGGGGUGUAAGGGUUCUUAAAUUGUCACGCCCCGAUCCCAACAUACGUCCAUGAUCGACACGUGACGUCACCAAAUACCCGUAUAUCUAACAUACCUCGCCUCCUGAAUAUAUACAAAGUAUCCUUCAAGAUCCAGAUGCACAAUAAUUUUUCGUAUACUUUAUGGCUACAUCUAAUCUCUUCAUUAGACUGCUUACGUACCCUCAAUAGGGAUCCAUCCAUUCGUAGUUCACCUUAUCACAAAAUCAGACGUUUAUCCACUAAGUUCAAGCAGAAAAGCAUAGCAUUCCUCAAUCAUUUAUUAUAACCUAACAACACUCAGGCUACAUAACCAAUCCCCAUGAAAACAUGAUUUCUCUCCCACCAACAUAUAAAUCAUUAUGUCUCAUCAUGAUAUUGUAAUUCACAACACACAUCAUAUUUAAGAGCCGACAAAACACAAAAUCAUUCUCUAGCCGCAUUAAUUAAUUAAUUAAUUUGAUCAAAGUAAUAACAAUCAUUCCCAUAUCUUCUAAAUUCACACCUUAUGAAAUCAUAAUCGAAUCAUAGAAAAUCCCGAAAGAGUCAUUCAGACGUCCAACAUUUUUUUUAACUCAAUUCACAAGACUCUCGAAAUCAUUGACACAAAUAUAUAUAAAACUAAGGCUAGAGUGACAGUGUUAGGCCAAGCCUACUUCUCCAAUUAAUGGGAUUUUAGGCCACUCCAUGAAAUUCAACAGCCUCGGGUUCCGGACCACUCAAUGGAACCAAACCAAAUAUGAUCGCCUAUAAAAUGUAUCAAGUACAACCAAUCAUCAUCACCUCUAGAAUGCGUAGGGUCCCCCAUCGCGGAUAUACCAAGCAGGACCACAUCCAUGUACCACUACUACGUGGUGCAAUCUCAUCAUCACACAUUAAACAUAAUUAUACGCAUAUAUGUUAUCGAUUCCACGUAUCAACCAACAUCUAGUCAUAUGGAGCACAACACAAGGAAUUCCCUUAAUUACUAUUUCUACUAAAAAUCUAAUAAAGUACCUAACUCAUCUCCAUCUCAAGCUAGGUAGUAAUGCCAAGUUCAAAUAGGUAUUCAGUUGGCAAUCACAUCCAAAUAAUUAUCAAACAAUAAUUAAAUCCCAUAAUUGUCAUAACAUUCAUCAUAAUUAUCAAUCACAUUAUUAAAAAGAUAAUUAAACACAUAUAUAUCACAUACAUCAUCAGUGUACAAGCCAAAUCCUAUUUAAUAAGCAUAGGUCUAUGGCUAAAUAUAUAAAAUCACAUUUCCAUAGAAAUCACAUUUAUAAAACUAAGUCGUAAUCACAAUUGAUAUUAAUAAAAGAAUUUAAGGUAAUCACCAUAGCCCAUAUAUUCAAGUCACUCUCUAACCAAUGUAGGCCCACUUGGCCUCACUGCGUCUCCCCGUAGUACUAAUUUUAAUAUUUAGAACAUUUCGAGACAUGUUGACCAAAAGUCAACUCUCGAUCAAAGGUAGGGUUCACAAUUCUACAUAACUUGAUCCGUAAGAUCCGCACGUUGGAUUUCAGAUCUGUAACUUUCUAAAAUACACAUUAUGCCUAUAAAACAACAUACUAAAAUUUCAUCACGAUCCGACGGUCGGAUCUCUGCCAAUUACAAAUUCAAGUGGCGACCAAAGUUUGAUUUUACAAACGUAGAAAUUCAAUACAAAAGGAUCCGUACGUCGGAUUCCCAAUCUAUCAGUUACCAUGGUCCUCAAAUAUUACGUAUUAUUACGUAUUAAAGUUUGUUAACAAUCCAACGGUCGAAUCAUCGAUUCAUAUUUUGAUCAAGUAAUGUAUCAUAGUGAAAUUAGGUUCAAACGAUCAAUCCACAUCAUACGAAUAUCAAAUACAAAGUCAGGACAUCUAAUUGAACUUAGAAAAUCAUCGUCGGCCCACUGGCUACAUGCCGCUGCAGGUGGCGGUCGGCCACCCGACUCGCCGGAAAAUUCAACUAUUUUAAAAAAUUACAAAAUUUUACAGGCAAGUAGAUCUCAGUGAGGGAAACAAUUUUCAUACCUAUGACCAAGGCCAAUUUUUCCGGAAAACACCUCGAUUUUUCACAAACCCGUCGGAACCCUAGAAAAGGGUGUGCUUCGAUUCGAAUUCCAUACGAGCUCCGAUGCCUCCACCAAUGCUUGGGAUUUGUUCCUGGGAUUGAGAGGAGUCCUUUGGUGGUGGUCAUCGACGGUGAAGCUUGCCGAAGCCACCGGAAAAAGGAUAAAACUGUCCGGACACCCGUGGGUUUGUGUCUUUGAACUAAACAAAUUGGGAAGUAAAUUGAAAAAUCUAACACUACAGAUAUGUAGGUCUCGUCAAGGGCUUUCCAUGGACACCAAGAUCACCCAAAACGGAGUUCGUAUGAAGGAGAUAUGAGCGGUUCAAUUUUGAAGGUUCGCAGGUCAAAAUGACCCAUUUCGGGUCUCCCUCCUUUCCCCCUCCUUUCCUCCUUUUUCUGAUUGGUUGUCCCCCCCCCCCCUCUUUUCUCUCCCGCACUCUCUCCUUUCUCCCCUCUCCCUUGCUGCCACUUGGCAGCUUCUAAACAUUUAAUUAUUUAUUUUCCAACAACUAAAACGUCUCUAACUUCUUCGUUGUAGAUCCGUUUCACGAACGGUUUGCGCCUACGCGUUCGUGAGAUCGAGCUCUAACCAAAGAUAUAAAUUGUGACCUCGAAUGGUCUACGAAUUUUUAAUAAUUAAUUUCCAAACUCUAAACUUCGCAACUAGUUUAAUUAAAGUAUAACUUCAAAUAACUUAAUAUAAAUUCUCGAAAAAUAGUAUAAAAUCUUAAGAAUACAAACACUUACAUUAUAACAGUGAAAUCCGAGAACGGGAUUUCACAUAAAUCCUUAGGGUCCUCCCACCUAUUGGACUAGUCGUUUGGGUUGGACUCUUCCCUUGGGCUUGAGUACCUAACAUUGAUAUCAAAGCCUAGGUUCCCGACGCUGCGGAGAGGACGACCUAGAAGGGGCUACCUUACCGGGACGACCAAAGGGUGCGCCGCCGUUUAGAGUGAAAGCCACCAGAGUAAGGGCAACCAUGGGCGUCGGCUUCUGAAUGGUGGUGUAAUGUUAUGAUCCCACAUCGACUACACUUAUGGGGGUGUAGUGUUUCUUAAGUCCUUGGGGUCCUCCCAUCUAUUGGACUAGUCUUUUCGGUUAGGCUCUUCCCUUGAGCUUGAGUACCUAACAAUCAUCUAAUAUAAUUUAGAGUUCCUAACAUCAGAUCUUCACUUUUAUCAAAAUCACAUUAUUCAUACAAAAAGAUGAACUCACGACUAAAAUUGCCAAGGAAAACUUGAUAUAUUACAAACCAGAUUCUGUAUGCGAGCAAAAAACGCAUUCAAUUAUCAACGAAUGACGACUCCGCCAGAUCAAUAGCGCGCGCAAGAGCAGCAGCUUUGUUCUCGCACUCCCUCUGCUCAUCGGCUGGAUCACUGUCAGCAACAAUUCCUGCCCCGGCUUGGAGAUGAGCGACCCACUCUCUGCGCUUGUUUGCGUCCUUGUAUGAAUACAUUGUAUCAUACCGAAAGCUAGUUGGAAAAACAAUAGUUCUCAGAGCAAGGGCAAUGUCCAUGUUGCCAGAAAACGAAAUUCCCCCAAAGCCACCAUCGUAUGGACCACGUCUAGUCACUUCUAGCUUAUCGAUCAGCUCCAUGGCUUUCACCUGCAUUGCAGUAGAGCUAAGAAUGCAGAAACUCGAAAAAUUAAUCCUAAGCGAGUCCAUAUAAGAUAGAUUGGGAAAUCAUGACAUCAGGUUCCAUAUAUCAACCAAGAGCGGUGUAAUAAGCCGUUUCCUAACUAAUUAGGUUAAUCCUCAAGGUUUGUACUCGCAGGAUUAUACAGGUUAAUUAAGUCUAGGAUCAAUUUAGCUAAUUGAUAAGAAAUAAAACAAGAAUGCCAACAAACAAAUUAAAAAGGGCUCAUGAAGAAAACCUUCAGUGCUCCACUGACUGUCCCAACAGGCAACGCAGUACGAAGAACAUCCCAGCUAGUUAAAUCAUCAAGUAACUCUCCAGUAACCUACAAUUACAUUAAAGUUUCGUCCCUUAAUUCAAUUGGUUGUUGAGUACAUACAUUACACUCAUGAAAAUAGACAUAGACCCCAUGAGAAAAUAAAUUCUGAAACUAAUGUCUACAGAUGCGCGGAUGUGUCAUCAAUCGUUAUAGAUAUUAGGUUACUUAUUAUGUGUAUUACCCGAAAGGAGAUAGUUACUGUUGAACUUAUGUGCAUGACAUGGGAAUAACGCUCAAUGUUCAUGAGCUCCUCAACCUUGACAGAACCAGGUUUUGAGACCUGCAUGAACAAAUUAUUAUGGCCACAAUAUACUAAAUGAAAGAAACAGAUUAUGAUAAAAAUCUUAUAAAUAUUGUCACGUAAGCCAUGAACAGACAAGGCAUCAAGUGUGAACUUAUGAAGCUAAUGCUGAAAUAUACAUCAGUGAAAUACUUUUUACCCGCCAUGGACUGAAAAUAGAUACCGGGGAGAAUAAAAUUUAGCAUAUGCAUGGUAUUACACUCUGGAGAAUAAAGUUCAACAUACAGUAAUAAUAUGAGAAAGGAAAGAUUAUAAACCUUCCCAACAUCAUUCCUUCCCAAGUCUACAAGCAUAAUAUGCUCUGCACAUUGCUUUUCAUCAUUCAAAAGCAGCUUUUCCAGCAUUAAAUCUUCUUUAGGUGUUUUUCCUCUUCUAACUGUCCCAGCAAGAGGCCGGUUGGUGAUCGUUUUCUAAUAACAAAAAUAAGAAAUGCAAAUCUCAGCAAUUUAUUGCUAAUGACGACUACAACACUAUAGUAGGAAAACAAAAGGGACCAAAGAAAACAUAAAAUGUAGGACAUCUUGUAGGAACCAUUGUAGAGGUUUAGGAGCUAGCAACAGAAUAAGACGAACACUCAGAUGUUAAAUUUUUUGGACUUCCUUUACUCACCUUCUUGACACGUGUUAGAAUUUCUGGACUUGAAGCAACCAGAAUACAGCCUCUAGCCUGAUCAUGGAAGUAUAUACUCAUAUAAUCUCAGAAUUACAAGGUGAACAAGUAGAUUGUGUUGUGAUUGGCUCAUAUUUUGAGUUGUUAACAAUUAAGUGACUUUGUGUGUUAUGCUUUCGGAAUAGUGGCCAAAUAUGUCCAUAUCUCAUUUUGGCUAAUAGUGGAAGACAAUGAUGAUGUUUCAUAGGAUUCCUUUGUUUUGGCAUUUUUUAUUCAUUUCCCAUUUGCAUGCCGAAAGUGGUUUUGGGUUUUGAGAAAAGGGAGCAUGAUGGAUCAUCAUUGUGUCUAUGUAAAAAAGGAGAGGUUGACUCACUUUUCUGUCCAUUUAAUUGCAAAGAGCCGAAGUAGAGAAAUAAAGAGAGAGAGCAUCCGAAGGAGAACACAAAGGAGAGAAAAUAUAGAGUAAGAGUGAGAAACUCUUGGGGAGAGGAGUCUUUUAGUAAAAUUCUGUGAGGGUACAAGGGAUUGGGGUUUGGGUUAUGUCGAUUUAACUCAAGUGUAACUUGUACUGUUAUUCUCAUAGUGAAGAGCAAUAUCUCUCCGGGGACGUAGGCAGGUUUUUGCCGAACCUCGUAAAUUUCUCGGUGUCUUUAUUUCUUGUAUUUUAAAUUGUUCAACUGUGGGUUUAUAAGUUGGUGAGAUAACAGGCCAAAGCACAACAAUUGGUAUCAGAGCUUUGUUGGAAGCUUUGGUUCAUCGAAGGUCCAGAUUUGUUAUUCACCAUGAUGACUACAAACAUGUCAUUUUCAGUUGAGAAGUUUAAUGGGAAAGACAAUUUUACUCUUUGGCAGAUGAGAGUAAAGGAUGUCUUGACUCAACAAGGCUUGGCUAGAGCUUUGAAGGGAAAAGAUGGGAAGCCUCAAGAAAUGACAGAUGACCAGUGGGAGGAGCUGGAGGCGCGUUGUGUUAGCACGAUUCGACACUGUAUAACUGAUAACAUUAUCAAUAAUGUUAUGGAUGAAGAUUCUGCGCCUGCACUUUGGGAGAAGUUGGAAAAACUCUAUAUUGCUAAGAGUUUGACCAACAAGUUGCAUUUGAAACGGAAACUGUACAAGCUGAAGAUGGAUGAAUGUGAGAAUCUCAUGGACCACAUGAAUGUGUUCAACGGAUACUUGGAUCAAUUGAGGAAAGUUGAUGUCAAGGUUGAGGAAGAAGACAAAGCCCUCUUACUUCUUACCUCACUUCCAGAUUCGUAUGAAAAUCUUGUGACAACCUUACUGCAUGGAAAAGAUACAGUAAGUUUGGAGCAGGUGCAAGCUUCUUUGGUGUCUUAUGAUACACAAAAGAAGAAGACCAUUGUUGAUGGUGGGCACGAGACUGCUUUAGCUGUUCAAGGUUGGAAUCGUGGAAGAAAAUUGGGAGAAGGAUCUGAGAGAGACAACAGGUUCAAAUCCGGUUCCGGAGGCAAGGGUCUACAAUGCUACAACUGCAAAGAAUUCGGGCAUAAAAAGAUAAAUUGUCCUUUGAGAAAAAGAAAGGAUGAUCUUGGUCCGAGUAGUAGCAAUUUUGUGGCAGAAGACUUCGAGUAUGCCCUCUAGGUACUCGAAGCAACACUUCUCUUGGUGAUGUUUAGUCUCGAGUGUUGCAAGGGAUUUGCACCAGGUGGAGCUAUGGGAUUCACAGGUGAUGAGAUGGUCUUGAAGGAAGAGAAGUGUGGGGAAUUUUGUCUGGCUCGAUGGGUUGUUGUUGGAAACGGGUGCACUGACGAGUUUCCAAGUUGCAGACAAUAAAGAAGGGGAAAAAAACUGUUGGAGGAGACGAGGAUGUGUCGAGAUCCUGUCUGAAACUAAAAUUGUGAUUUUUAGCUUGCAGCAGCUGCACAUGCAUUGGCAGUGACUGAAUCGGAACAGGACCAACGAGGUUUAUUCAGUGUGUGUAUGCUGGUACGUAAGGCCAAUGGACUUUGGUGAUGGGUGCAAGGAUUUUUUGCACAGUAUAUUCGCCAAGGUGGAGAUUGUUGUGAUUGGCUCAUAUUUUGAGUUGUUAACAAUUAAGUGACUUUGUGUGUUAUGCUUUCGAAAUAGUGGCCAAAUAUGUCCAUAUCUCAUUUCCACUAAUAGUGGAAGACAAUGAUGAUGUUUCAUAGGAUUCCUUUGUUUUGGCAUUUUUUACUCAUUUCCCAUUUGCAUGCCGAAAGUGGUUUUGGGUUUUGAGAAAAGGGAGCAUGAUGGAUCAUCAUUGUGUCUAUGUAAAAAAGGAGGUUGACUCACUUUUCUGUCCAUUUAAUUGCAAAGAGCCGAAGUAGAGAAAUAAAGAGAGAGAGCAUCCGAAGGAGAACACAAAGGAGAGAAAAUAUAGAGUAAGAGUGAGAAACUCUUGGGGAGAGUGAGUCUCUUAGUAAAAUUCUGUGAGGGUACAAGGGAUUGGGGUUUGGGUUAUGUCGAUUUAACUCAAGUGUAACUUGUACUGUUAUUCUCAUAGUGAAGAGCAAUAUCUCUCCGGGGACGUAGGCAGGUUUUUGCCGAACCUCGUAAAUUUAUCGGUGUCUUUAUUUCUUGUAUUUUAAAUUGUUCAACUGUGGGUUUAUAAGUUGGUGAGAUAACAGGCCAAAGCACAACAGAUUGGAACCAAUGACUCACUGAAAACGAGGCAAACCUGUAAAUAAGUCAUAUAUGGACUUGGAUUAACUAUCCUCAAUGCUCGGUAAAUUUCAAAUGGGUCUGCAAAUGUUCGCCUCUCAAAAUGCUGGCUUAAUACAAUCUGAAAUAUAUCCCCAGCUAGAAUGUGCUCUUUAGCUUCCAAAACUGCCUCCUUAUAUUCCUCACUUGUCAAGCUUGAGUCCUCCAAUUUAGUACCAAAAAGUUGAGUGUUGAACCCUAUUGAACCUGCAGGCAGCCUCGGGCUGAAAUUGACAGUUGAUACAUUCUUACAUCAACCUUAAGUUUUUUUUUUUUUUUUUUAAAAAAAAAAAAAAAAGUAAUUAACAAGUAUGGAGAACUAAGUCCUCCGGCCCUGAGGCGGCCUCGAGUUGAAAUUGACUGUUGAUUAAUCUUAUCCCAUUCAAUUUUACGUAAGCAUACAUUUAUGAUUAAAACUGGUAUUAAAAAUAUAUAUAGAAAAGAAAUGUGAAGGAAAGGAGUUGAUUACUCACGUGAUAAUGUCAUGCACUCUAGAUACCAAUGUUUCCAAUACAUAACACUAGUGUCAACACAGUACAUCUACAACCUAACAAAAUGUACAGGAAAAUAUGAGCAUACCGAUAACCCACAAUUCUACUUGCCUAGUCCAAAACUUUGAGACUACGAGGGGAAAAGUAAGCAAAGCAUGGCCUUCAUUUUUAUAAAUAACUUCACCACAACUUUACAAAUCGAAGUUUUGUUAACGAACCACAUUUAAGGAGAAGUGGUUUACUUUGAACUGAGAGGAUUAAGAUAUGAGUACUACUAAAGAAUUUAAAGCAUGUUAUUUGUGUGCUUAUCGUACCAGAAAAUGCUUCUGGAAGUUCAUCAAGAAGUUGGGGUGUCCAUCCCUCCAUGAUUCUCCGAGGAACAGUCAUUGGAUCCUCCACGAUCUCCUCUGUCCUACAACCUUCUCUGUGGUCCAUAAUGGUAACCAUGUUCUCCUUAGCCACGAUUUCAAUGGAUGGUUGGGCACCAAUAACAAAUGAUUGACACCAAAAAUUUGUAAGUGAUUAUUAUUGUCUAAAGUCAGAUGCAAACAAAUACAAAUGAUACAAGGGGCUGAGGACGCUUACAACAUUGGAGUCGUUGGAACCCGGCUCAACUGACUCAAACAGAAAACUUGGAGCAUCUCUAUCAUCCUCCUUAACCAGACAUCGGUAAGCAAGAACAGGAGUUAGAUGAUCCGAGAAUAUGCUCCGAGACAGAGGAAUUAAAUUCCCCUUCUUCGAGGCUUCUACAAGCUUCUCUGAUUCGUCGGCUGCAGUAAAAUCAAUAGUACAAAUCAAAAUUCGAAUUAGUAUAACCAAUUCAGUUCCCUACAAACAGACAUUCCCUGACAGAAUCAAAUUUUGAAUUCUAAAAUUUGGGCAGAUUAUAAUGUAAAUCAAACCGAAAUUAGCGUUUUACAAUGUAAAUCGAAACACAAUUAACUAAAAACCCAGAAAUUCAUUUUCUUAUUUUCUUCCAGCAAAACAGUCAUAGAUACUCAAAUGUAAAUGGCUAAUGUAGUUGAAUCAACUGCUCCAGAAGAAAAAUUGAAACGAGCAACAAAAAAAAAUAACAAAGGUCGGGAAGAAAAAAGACAAUGCGAAGAUGAAAAUUAAAGGAAUCAAGCGAAGGAGGAAGGGUGCCGACGUGGGUAAUGUAUAUAGUAUUACUAUUGCCUACCCAAAAAAACAUUAGAAGGAGAAGGACGCUCCAUAUGAGCAACCAAAGACGAUUGACUCGUCAUGUAAUGGGUAGCACCAGUGGCGGGAUGCCAAAGUGGUCAGGCUGCUGUUCUAACUGGGUUCCAGCAAAGGGUCAGGCUGGAAUGUAUUGCAGAUAUAGAGCCAAGGAGGGCCUAGGAGCAGGCCAGCUGGGCUGAGACAAAUUGAGCAGAAAAUUGGGCCGAACAGAAGCAAGGGGCUGCCCCAGUUUUUGUUGAUGGGGAUGUUGCCAAUGAUGCUGGACUGGGCACGCAGCAUCAAAGGGCCGACCACCACAACAAGAAUUAAAUUAUUGACAAGUGGAAUCCAUAAAGCACCAAAAAAUUAGGUGAAGAUUUGAGAACGAGUGGUUCUCAUGUGUUGUAGAUUUGUAAUGGUCUUAUACAUUCUCUCAACUCUGUCACCAAAUUUCCAUUUGCAAAGAAAAGAUUGAUCAUGGCGUUGGCGGUGGUAGGUGGAGCCGCUCUCUCGGGUUUCUUCCAGCAAGUAUUUGUGAAGUUGGAUUCUCAGGAGGUCAGAAACUUCAUCAGAGGAAAGAAACUGACUGAUGGGUUGCUCAAGAAGUUGAGGAUCAAGUUGAUGUCUGUUGGUGCUGUUUAUGAUGAUGCCGAGCAAAAGCAAUUACGUAACCCACAUGUGAGGCUGUGGCUGCACGAGCUUAAAGAGGCAGUCCUUGAUGCUGAGGACCUACUGGACGAGAUCAAGACAGAAGCGUUGAGGCGGAAAAUUGAAGCUGAAUUUGGAAGUAGCACAAGCAAGGUACAAGACCUCAUCUCUACUUCUUUGCAUGCUUUUGAUGAGUCUGUAGACAGCAAAAUAGAGGAAAUUCUUGAGAGGCUAAGCUUCAUUGUAGAACAGAAAGAUGCCCUUGAUUUGAAAAGAGGUAGUAGACACAAAAUCUCACAAACAUUGCUUUCAACUUCUUUAGUAGAAUGCUCUGAUGUGUAUGGAAGAGAUCAUGACAAGGAAACCAUCAUUCAAUUGUUGCUAUCAAAUGAUGUCUCUUGUAGUAAGAUUGGCAUUAUUCCCAUUGUGGGCAUGGGUGGGAUCGGAAAGACCACCCUUGCUCAGCUCUUAUACAAUGAUGAUAGAGUGAAGCAGCAUUUUGAGCUCCAGGCAUGGGUUUGUGUUUCUGAUGAAUUUGACGUUGUUAAGAUCACACAAACAAUUUAUGCAUCAGUCACUUCACGAACCUGUGACACCACAGACCUAAACCAGCUUCAGGUCAAACUCAAAGAUGCUUUGGUGGGGAAGAAGUUUCUUUUUGUUCUUGAUGAUGUUUGGAACGAGAAUUACAAUAUUUGGGAUUCCUUAAAACGCCCCUUAGAGUCUGGAGCUCAUGGAAGUAAGAUCAUUGUCACCGCACGGAAUGAUGGUGUUGCAUCUACGAUGGGUACUCUUCAAACCCACUAUUUAAAGCACUUACUUGAGGAAGACUGUUGGUCUUUAUUUGCAAACCAUGCCUUCAAAGAUGCAAGUGUUAUUGUAGAUCCAAAUCUUGAGGUAAUUGGAAGACAAAUUGUUAGCAAGUGUAAAGGCCUUCCUUUAGCUGCAAAAUCUCUCGGUGGUCUCUUACGCUCUGAACCAAAUGUGGAGGAAUGGGAAAAUGUGCUAAAAAGUGACAUAUGGGAGUUGUCAGAUGCAAAGAUUGAAAUUCUGCCGGCACUAUGGCUAAGUUACCAGUACUUGUCUCCGGUGCUGAAGCGUUGUUUCGCUUAUUGUUCAAUAUUUCCCAAAGAUUAUGAAUUUGACAAGUUUGAAUUAAUUUUAUUGUGGAUGGCCGAAGAUCUUUUACAACCCCAAAAGAAGACUAGGUUGGAAGAUGUUGGAAAGAAAUACUUUGAUGAUCUAAUCUCACGGUCAUUUUUUCAAUACUCACCUUCAAAUGAUUGUUUCAUCAUGCAUGAUCUGAUGCAUGAUUUGGCGACUUGCGUAUGUGGGGAAUUUUGCAUUAGAUUGGAAGACCAUGACUUCUCAUUGGACGUUGUGAGCAAGGGUCGUCAUUUUUCUUAUAUGCAAUAUUCAUCUAAUGUUGAUUUUGAGAGAUGUGACACUAUUUAUGAAGCUAAGUAUCUGCGCACCUUCAUUCUUGGCGAUCUCUAUUCAUUGCCAACAGUACGAUUUGAUCUCCUUGUAGUGCUACAGUGUUUAAGAGUUCUCAAACUACAUGGGCAUUAUAUCAAGGAGUUGCCUGAUUCAAUUAGCAACUUGAAGCAUCUACGGUACCUCAACUUGUGUGGCAGUCCAAUAAGGAAAUUACCAGACACGGUAUGCAGUUUGUAUAAUUUACAAACGUUGUUGCUGUCAAAUUGUACAUGUCUAGCUGAGUUGCCCACCAAUUUGAGAAGACUUAUCAACUUGCGCCAUCUUGAUUUGAGACGUACGAAAAUAAGAAAGAUGCCCCCCCACAUGGGCAAGUUGAAAGAUCUCCAAACAUUUGGAGGUGAGUUUGUCUUGAGCAAAGAUGUCGGGGGAAACAUUGAUGAGUUAAAGGGGUUUCAGCAUUUGAGUGGAAAUCUUCAUAUUUCAGGGCUUCAAAAUAUCACACGUGCUGAGGAUGCUUUGGAGGCCAAACUGAGGGACAAGAAGCUCAGUGAAAUACGUUUGAAAUGGGAAGGUGACACUAUUGAUUCUGAAAACGAUAGCCGAGUGCUAGGCAACUUGCAACCCAAUACAAACCUAAAAGUAUUGGCUAUACAAGGAUACGGAGGUACGAAGUUUCCAGGUUGGUUGGGAGAUGAGUCUUUCUCUAAUCUUGUCACUCUCCGACUUGAGACUUGUGGAUAUUGUUUCUCCCUGCCAGCAUUGGGGCAGCUACCGUCUCUCAAAAGGCUUGAAAUUGAUGGGUUGAAUGGAGUGGAAUCAGUGGGGUCUGAGUUUUAUGGGGGAAUUAAACCUGCAUUUAAAUCUCUGGAGUUUCUGAGUUUCUGCAGUAUGCGGGAAUGGCAAGAGUGGUGUUUCCCUGGAGGCGGACAUUUUCCUAAUCUUUGCGAGCUUAGUCUGGGGAAUUGUCCCAAACUAACGGGGAAAAUACCGUUAGACUACUUCCCAAGACUUGAGCGGCUAAGUUUGCAGAACGUUAAAAUCGUAUAUUUUGUGGGUGGUGGAGUGUUGCUUGCGCCCAACUUGUGGUCAGUGCCAGAAGAUCUGCAAAUCUCGCUCCCAUCUCUUCAGUCUCUGUCCAUAGAAGGGUGUAAAGAAUUUAAAUCAUUUCCGGAAGAAUCUAAAUUCCCAUCCCUCAAAAAUUUGAAGAUAAAGGAGUGCCCAGAAUUUGUUGGUUUCCCCCAUGGGGGAGGACUGCAAGCGCCCAACUUGAAGACGAUGCAAAUCAAAGAAUGUAACAAAUUCAGGUCACUGCCAGAGGAGAUGCACGCUUCUCUCCCGUCCCUUCAGUGUCUGUCCAUAGAAGGGUGUAAAGAAUUUGUGGGUUUCCCCCAUGGAGGAGGACUGCAAGCGCCCAACUUGAAGAUGAUGCAAAUCAACGAAUGUAACAAAUUCAGGUCACUGCCAGAGGAGAUGCAAAUCUCUCUCCCGUCUCUCUCGUCUUUGUAUAUAUGGGAUUCUCCAGAAUUGGAAUCAUUUCCGGAAGGGGGAUUGCCGUCCAAAUUGCGUUACCUCAUUAUCUGGUGUUGUAAAAAACUGAUGGCAAACCGUAUGCGGUGGGGUCUACAAACACUCACCUCUCUCAAAUUCUUGGAUGUCAGCUUCUCAGGAUGUGAAGAAGAAGAAAUUGUCGAAUCAUUUCCAGAAGAGGGGCUGCUGCCAAUCACUCUCACUUCUCUCGGAAUCUCCCAUCAUCCGAAUCUGAAAACCAUUGACGGCAAGGCGUUAAGACACAUCAUCUCUCUCGAGGAGUUGUAUAUUUGUUAUUGUCCUCAACUCCAGAGCUUGCCAGAUGAAGGGCUACCCACUUCUCUUUCUUUUCUACAUAUCACCGGGUCUGAUUUGCUAACACAACGGUGUCAGAGAGACACAGGAGAAGAUUGGCCCAAGAUUUCUCACAUCCCCAACGUAAGGAUUAAUGACCGAAAGAUAUGAUUUGCAAUGGUAAGUAAUUCGUCAACGUUCGUUUAUGUGUUUAUUUACGAUCUGGCUGUGUAAAUUUUAAAUCAUAAACAUGUUUCAAAUGUUAAUAUUCACGUAAUAACAAACAAAUUUUACAGGUACUCCUGUCCCAUAUAAACUUGAAAGUAUUUGUGAUAGAAAGAUACGGAGCUACAAAAUUCCAAAUCUGUUAGGAGAUGACUCGUUCGUUCUCUCAUCUUGUUACUCUUCGACUUAUGGAUUGUGAAUAUUGUUUUUCAAUGGCAGCUUUGGGACAGCUACCAUCUCUCAGAAGGCUUGAAACUGAUGGGUUAAAUGGAGUGGAAUUGUUUCAGUGUUGGUUCUACUCUCCCUUUUUCUUACUGUGUCUUAUGGUGGUUUCAUUAUACGACAGUUUGUUGUAUCAAACUAGUCCUCGGGGAAAAAGGAGCUUCAACAAGUUUACGAAAUUACGACCUCUAGUUUCCAAAUCUCCUUUUUCAAGUUUUUUUUUCCAAAUCAUGUCUAUUGAGAGGUAGAUUUUGGUACUUUGUGGAAUUUGAAUUCAAACGCUUGGUUUGUAAAAUAUGGAUGAUGAAUUUCGUUGCUGUGGAACUGUGAAUCAAUGAUCAUGCAUGAAUGUUGUAAGACCAGAGUAUCAAAAACCCUCUGUUUACUAAUCAAUCUCAACGGGACUAAAUUCAACUUAUUUAAUUAGUAUUGCAAGAUGAUAUUAUCUAUUAAUCGUUGUCUAAUCAAAUGAUUACCAUUUCAUCAUGCCCUCAGGGAUGCAUGGAGCUACAAAAGUUUUCAAGUUGCUUCGCAUGUGUAGGUCUGGAGUCGUGCAAUGAUAUGUACGCGAAAAUUAUGAGCAAACAAAAGUAAACAACUCUUAAACAUAAAUUUUGGCUGCCGGAAAGUCUGAGUAGUACCGGAGAAGAUAAAUGAAAAGUUUCAAAAACCCUAACAACAAAAAUGAAAAGUUUGCAACUUUCGCCAAUAAACAAUUAAAGGUGAAAAGAAUUUGAAAUUUUCACGGGAUUCUUACGUAUAGAACUACUGCAUUAUAUAUUAGUUUAGGAAAACUGGCAGGUUUCACCUAGGAUUCUUACCUAUACAAUUAUUUAAUUUGACACUAGUUUAUCAAGAACUGACAGGUUUUAGUAUUACUAACGAAAUUUGUAACAAAUAGCUAAAAUUUAACCCGUAAUGAUGAAAACGAAAAAAACAAAAGUCUGCAACUUUAGCCAAAGUUUGAUUCUUUAACCCCCUCCAGGUAACAUUUGAACCAAUUCGAGCAGUAAUUAAACCCAUAAGUUGUAGAGAAUGUUACAAGUGAACAAGAUAAACCAAAAUUUCCAGAUUUGUAUACAAAAUAUCCAGGCAUAACACGAAAUCAUAAAUACAAAUAAACAAGAAAAAAAUGAUGAGAAAAAAGAAAUACCUGUUGAGAGGAAAGAAAAUGGAUGGGAGAUGAGAAGGGUAAUUGUAGGAUUCACUGAAGGUGCCACUCUCAGAUGCCGAAGAAGUGAUUUUUAAAGAAGAAGGAGAUGAUGAAACUUGUUCAGCAAAGUGAGUACGGAAGAAGGCUCUGAAUAAACUAAUACAACAACAACAACAACAAAGCCUUUUCCCACUAAGUGGGGUCGGCUAUAUGAAUCCUAGAAAGCCAUUGCGCUCGGUUUUGUGUCAUGUCCUCCGUUAGAUCCAAGUACUUUAAGUCUUUUCUUAGAGUCUCUUCCAAAGUUUUCCUAGGUCUUCAUCUACCCCUUCGGCCCUGAACCUCUUCCAAAGAAAAAAAUGAAAAAGGGCUCAUGGAGAAAACCUUUGGUUUGAAAUGAAGGAAAGCUUAUUUAUUGAUAUCCCCGAUAAGCUACAAAUAUGUACAUAUACAUGAGUCAAAAUAAACACACAAGAGGGAGCCUUCACAAAGGUUGCUUAGGAGAAGUCUCAGCAGUCGGUAGAGCCCCAGAAAGAGAAGGCACCGGAGGGGGAUCAUUUGGAGCCUCAGUACUGGACAGAACCCUAGAAGGAGGAGGCAUCAUAGGUUGAUCAUUUGGAGCUUCAUUACGCGGUACAGUCCCAGAAGACGAAGGCAAUAAAUGCCUUUGGAACAAACCCACAAAUCUCUGAUGAUCAAGUAAAACCUGACCAUCAGUUUCCUUCAUCUGGUUAAGCUUCCUCUUCAUGUUUGUAGCAUAGUCAUGUGCGAGCCGGUGCAACUGUUUAUUCUCAUGCUUGAGCCCUCUAAUCUCCUGUUUGAGACUCAUCACUUCAGCCGCCAAUGAUUUAACUUGGCGGGUUCGAGCAAAUAGGCGUUGGGCCAUAUUAGACACAGAACCUGCACACUGAACACUGAGAGCCAGCGAAUCCUUAACAGCUAACUCAUCAGACCGUUUGGAAAGUAGUCUGUUAUCUUUGGGAGUGAGAAGGUUCCUGGCCACCACCGCAGCGGUCAUAUCAUUCUUCAUUACGGAAUCCCCAACGAUAAGAGGACCAGUAGGGGAGACGAAGGAUGGGCGCCAUAUGUUGUCUGGAGAAGGCGGGACUGCCUCUUCAACAAGGUUCAAGUCAAAACGACGGUCGGAGGGGCCAGACAUUUUCAAAGGUGUUGAAGAGAGAAGAGGUCGGACAAAUCAAGAUCUUAGAAGUGCAAGAAUGAAGCUUCUACUGGUGGAGAUUCAAGUGUGCUUUGGAACUUAAUGUUAGCCCCUAUAAAAAUCUACACUCGACGGAGCUUCAGAAAUCGAAGAGGCGCCUGCUCAGAAAUCGAAGAAGCGUUUGCUUUCUCAAAAGCUGGGCUGCUUAGAGACCUCGAGGGUUGAUCUCAGAAAUCGAAGAGGCGUUUGCUUUCUCAAAAGUUGGGCUGCUCAAAGACCACGAAGGCCGAUCUCAGAAAUCGAAGAGGCGCUCGCUUUCUCAAAAGCUGGGCUCCCCAGAGACCACGAGGGCCGAUCUCAGAAAUCGAAGAGGCACCUACUUUUCCAGCCUUGUCAGCACCUGUCACACGCACACUCAGCUUUGCGAAAAUUAUGGGCAUUCUGUCGAAGACUUCUGGGGAAGUAGAAAACACAUGAAUCUUACUGUUCAAUCACCCACUUCCCACACGCAACAAUAGCUCAUGGGUACCACAGAUAACUUUGCCAAAGUUCUCUGCCAAAGUUGAGCACGUGAAGCUUGCAGCUCCCUCUACAUCGCUCUGACCAAGAAGGGUAAAAGAAUAGCAAAGAAACAGCACUAACAAAGUUUAGACCCAUAAAUUUUGAAGGUCUAGCUAUCAUAUUAUUACCCACAAGGGUAAAGGAACAGUACCACUGCUGGAUAAUUGGAAAGUCCCUGUGUGUCAACCUCUGUGCUUCGCGGCAAGGUAGACUAGCAAACAUGCCCAACCUUUACUCACAUUCGAGAAAACACUCCCAAUAAGAUUGCUUGCUCCAAAAUCGAAGAGGCACCGUCCUCCGAAUCUCGAGAGCCAGACUCCCAACAUGACUACUUUCUUAAAAAUCGAAGAGAGGGUAAAGGAACAGUACCAUUGCUGGAUAAUUGGAAAGUCCCUGUGUGUCAACCUCUGUGCUUCGUGGCAAGGUAGACUAGCAAACAUGCCCAACCUUUACUCACAUUCGAGAAAACACUCCCAACAAGAUUGCUUGCUCCAAAAUCGAAGAGGCACCGCCCUCCGAAUCUCGAGAGCCAGACUCCCAACAUGAUUACUUUCUCAAAAAUCGAAGAGACACUACUCCCCGAAUCUUCGAGAGCCAGACCCCCAGCAUGAUUGCUUUCUCAAAAAUCGAUGAGGCAUCGUUCUCCGAAUCAAUCGAAGAGGCGCUCGCUUUCUCAAAAGCUGGGCUGCUCAGAGACCAUGAGGGCCGAUCUCAGAAAUCGAAGAGGCACCUACUUUUCUAGCCUUGUCAGCACCUGUCACACGCACACUCAGCUUUGCGGAAAUUAUGGGCAUUCUGUCGAAGACUUCUAGUGAAGUAGAAAGCACAUGAAUCUUACUGUUCAAUCACCCACUUCCCACACGCAACAAUAGCUCAUGGGUACCACAGAUAACUUUGCCAAAGUUCUCUGCCAAAGUUGAGCACGUGAAGCUUGCAGCUCCCACUACAUCGCUCUGACCAAGAAAGGUAAAAGAAUAGCAAAGAAACAGCACUAACAAAGUUUAGACACAUAAAUUUUGAAGGUCUAGCUACCAUAUUAUUACCCACAAGGGUAAAGGAACAGUACCACUGCUGGAUAAUUGGAAAGUCCCUGUGUGUCAACCUCUGUGCUUCGUGGCAAGGUAGACUAGCAAACAUGCCCAACCUUUACUCACAUUCGAGAAAACACUCCCAACAAGAUUGCUUGCUCCAAAAUCGAAGAGGCACCGUCCUCCGAAUCUCGAGAGCCAGACUCCCAACAUGACUACUUUCUCAAAAUCGAAGAGAGGGUAAAGGAACAGUACCAUUGCUGGAUAAUUGGAAAGUCCCUGUGUGUCAACCUUUGUGCUUCGUGGCAAGGUAGACUAGCAAACAUGCCCAACCUUUACUCACAUUCGAGACAACACUCCCAACAAGAUUGCUUGCUCCAAAAUCGAAGAGGCACCGCCCUCCGAAUCUCGAGAGCCAGACUCCCAACAUGAUUACUUCCUCAAAAAUCGAAGAGACACUGCUCUCCGAAUCUCGAGAGCCAGACCCCCAGCAUGAUUGCUUUCUCAAAAAUCGAAGAGGCAUCGUUCUCCGAAUCUCGAGAGCCAAAUACCAUAGACCACUUUUUCAAAAGUGCUCUGACAGAGUUAAAACAUGUGAAACUGGCAGCUCCCACUACCGUGCUAUGACCAAGCAGGGUAAAGGAAUAGCAUUACUACUUGUUGUUAGGGAGACUCCUAUAUAUGUCGACCCCCAUCCCCAACGGACAGGCAGACCUGUAAAAAUGCUCAACCCUUCAUCAUAUCUGAGAGGGCACUCCCAACGAAGCCUUUCGAAAUAUUCAGCUUUCUUUCCCCCCGAUAAUACCUCUGCAAACAAGCUAUACUAGAGCAAGAAUAUCUCAUAUCAUCAGGGUUAAAAGCAAGAGUAUCCCAUAUCAUGCUUUUUCCCUGUCUUUUCCUUUGGCCUUGUUUUUACCUGCAAGACAAGGAGAAAGAAAGCAAUCAGUCAGCACUUGGAAUCAAGCUCCCAGCCAGGAACUGACUGCCUAUAACCCCUUACCUGAUUACUUACCUGGCAUUGCUCUCGAGUACUCAUCUUCAACAUCUUAUGUUUCCAGGGAAGAUUCCGCAUCUGCUUGAGGAACAGAUAGGGCAAGUGCGAAGGAUACAAGGAAGCAUGUGGAGACAAGCGUAACAGCACACGUGCCGAUACAUCCAUUACUCUGUCAAAAGCAAAAGUAUCCCAUAUCAGCAGGGUGGAACGUACUCUAGAUUUGAUGGACUUGUUUUGACCCUCAAAUUCUUCAGUCGGCCUUAUACUCUAGAGGAAACCAGAAAACCCUCCAGCUCAGUUCAAGAAUAAGCCUGUGGAAAGUUACUUCUUCAAAAGCAAAAGUAUCUCAUAUCAUCUCUUCUCAUUUUUCUUCUCUUUAUCCUUCAUGCUGCUGCAAGAUGGGGAGUAGGUGAACAAUCAGUCGGAGCUCUGAUUGCUUACCUUGUCUGUCACCUCUUUCAGCAGACCCCCUAGCUCGGCGACUUGAGGGACUCCUACUACAUGGUUUAUAUCGCGUUUGACCAAGCCUGAAACUACAAGUAAGCUUCAAGUGAAAUUGAUACAUUACCUUGUGCAUCUCCACCAGUUAAAGAUACCACCCCUGGAUGGAGGAAGAGUAUUUCCAGAGAAGAUGCCACAUCUACCUAUGAGACAGAUAAGGCAAGUCAAGACGACACCACACUCCGAUACUUAGAAGUUUCGUGAUUACGAGAUCAUUCUCCCACAAUAUUUCCUAAUGUCAUUUGUACUAAAUCAUUCACUUGUACUCACUAAAGGAGAACUUGAACCUAUGUACUUGUGUAAACCCUUCACAAUUAAUGAGAACUCUUUUAUUCCGUGGACGUAGCCAAUCUGGGUGAACCACGUACAUCUUGUGUUUGCUUUCCUAUCUCUAUCCAUUUAUAUACUUAUCCACACUAAUGACCGGAGCAAUCUAACGAAGAUCACAAAAAGCGACCGUUUUCGCUACCUAGGAUCUAUCUUGCAAGAGAACGGAGAAUUAGAUGGAGAUCUCAACCAUAGAAUACGAGCUGGAUGGAUGAAGUGUAAGAGUGCAUCCAGCGUGUUGUGUGACCGUCGUAGGCCACUGAAGCUCAAGGGAAAAUUUUAUAGGACGACAAUAAGGCAAUAAGGCCAGCGAUGUUGUAUGGCACAGAAUGUUGGGCGGUGAAGCAUCAACACGUACACAAAAUGGGUGUAGCGGAGAUGAGGAUGCUUCGUGGGAUGUGUGGGCACACAAGAAAGGAUAAGAUUGGGAAUGAGGAUAUCCGAGGUAAAGUAGGAGUAGCCGAAAUUGUAGGAAAGAUGAGAGAAAAUCGGCUCCGGUGAUUUGGACAUGUGCAAAGAAGGCCGACUGACGCUCUGGUUCGAAUAUGUGACUACGGGACAGAGGUUCAGGGCCGAAGGGGUAGAGGAAGACCUAGGAAAAUUUUGGAAGAGACUCUAAGAAAAGACUUAGAGUACUUGGAUCUAACGGAGGACAUGACACAAAACCGAGCGCAAUGGCGUUCUAGGAUUCAUAUAGCCGACCCCACUUAGUGGGAAAAGGCUUUGUUGUUGUUGUUGUUGUUGUUGUGGAGAAAACCUUUGGUGCUCCACUGACAGUCCCAACUGGCAACGCAGUACGCAGAACAUCCCAGCUAGUUAAAUCAUCAGGUAACUCUCCAGUGACCUACAAUUACAUUAAACUUUCAUCCCUUAAUUCAAUUGGUGGUUGAGUACGUCACACUGAUGAAAGUAGAUAUAGACCCCAUGAGGAAAAAUUCUGAAACUAAUGUCUACAGAUGCCCGGAUGUAUCAUCAAUCGUUAUAGAUAUUACUUUACUUAUUAUGUGUAUUACCAAAAGGAGAUACUUACUGUUGAACUUAUGUGCAUGACAUGGGAAUAACGCUCAAUGUUCAUGAGCUUCUCAACCUUGACAGAACCAGGUUUUGAGACCUGCAUGAGCAAAUUAUUAAUCGCGUUAUUAUGGCCACAAUAUACUUAAGAAAAAACAGAUCAUGAUUAAAAUCUUCUAAAUAUAAGAAACAGUAGUCAUGUAAGCCAUGAACAGACAAGGCACCAAGUGUAAACUUAUUAUGCUAAUGCUGAAAGAUACAUUAAUGAAAUAUUUUUACCUGCCAUAGAUUGAAAAUAGAUACCGGGGAGAAUAAAAUUUAGCAUAUGCAUGGUAUAACAAUCUCGAGAAUAAAAUUCAACAUACAGUAAUAAUCAUACAAAUAGGAGAAAGGAAAGAUUAUAAACCUUCCCGACAUCAUUCCUCCCCAAGUCUACAAGCAUAAUAUGCUCUGCACAUUGCUUUUCAUCAUUCAAAAGCUGCUUUUCCAGCAAUAAAUCUUCUUUAGGUGUUUUUCCUCUUCUAACAGUCCCAGCAAGAGGCCGGUUGGUGAUCGUUUGCUAUUAACAAAAAAAAGAAACGCACAGCUCAGCAAUUUAGCUAAUGAAGAUUACAACACUAUAGUAGGAAAACAAAAGGGACCAAAGAAAACAUAAAAGGUAGGACAUCUUGUAGGAACUAGCAACAGAAUAAGACGAACACUCAGAUGUUAAAAUUUUUUGGACUUCCUUUACUUACCUUCUUCACACGUGUCAGAAUUUCUGGACUUGAAGCAACAAGAAUACAGCCUCUAGCCUGAUUAUGGAAGUAUAUACUCAUAUAAUCUCAGAAUUACAAGGUGAACAAGUAGAUUGGAAUUUGGAACCAAUGACUCACUGAAAACGAGGCAAACCUGUAAAUAAGUCAUAUACGGACUUGGAUUAACUAUCCUUAAUGCUCGGUAAAUUUCAAAUGGGUCUGCAAAUGUUCGCCUCUCAAAACGCUGGCUUAAUACAGUCUGAAAUAGAUCCCCAGCUAGAGUGUGUUCUUUAGCUGCCAGAACUGCCUCCUUAUAUUCCUCACUUGUCAAGCUUGAGUCCUCCAAUUUAGUACCAAAGAGUUGAGUGUUGAACUCUAUUGAACCUGCAGGCAGCCUCAGGCUGAAAUUGACAGUCGGUACAUUUUUACAUUAACCUUAAGUCUUUUUUUUCCCUUUUUUUUAAAAAAGUAAUUAAUAAGUAUGGAGAACUCCUCAUUGAAGAAAGGAGUUGAUUACUCAGUAAAUUUGAUUAUUUGUUUUUUUUAAAGGUAUGUAUAAUGCAAAUUAUGUAAAAUUUCAAGAAAAAUAAUAAAUGGACUUCUAUUUCUCUCAAUGCAUUUGUUUUUUUUUUUUUUUUUUUGCUAUAUACAUACAUAUAUUAUGUAUGUAUAUGUAUAUUUUUUUUCACGUGGACUGAUCCACCAUUCCAAAACCCUUCCCCUUUGCAUGGUGCUAGCCACCAAGAAUCCACCUUCUCUCCUUUUUUUUAUUUAUAUAUAUUAUAUAUAUAUAUAUAUAUUUGUUUUUUAAUUUUUUUUUAAUUUUUUUUAUUUUUAUAUAUUUUUUUUCUUUCACAUGGUGCUGAUCCACCAUUCCCCUUUUCUUUUCUUUUUUCACGUGGUGCCAGCACCACUUUGCUCCACCAUCUUUUUUUUUUUUUUUUUUUUAAUAUAUUUUUCUGUAUAAAUUUGGGUGGUGGGCAGAGGAAUUUGCAGGGAGCGGACGAAGACGGACGGAGAGUUGGAGUUUGAGGAAGCCUUUCUCGGCCGGCUAGUCGUUUGACAGCGGUCUUUGAAGUUGUUGGCAACUGCGAGGCAAGAGACGGAGGAGGUCUUUGGGUGUGGAUUGUCAAACUUUGGUUUUGUCAAUCUCAUUCAAAGGCUGCAACCAUGGCGGAGCAAGGAGGAGAGGAUGGGGAGUUGGAGAGGGCUCCGGAGCAUUGGUGUUUCUGCAAUGGAGGGCACGUGGUCGAGCUCGAGGGAGGAGUCUUGGUGCUGAAUAUGAGCUGGCCUUCUGAGAGGAGACUCUGAAGAUGGGGAUGUGCUGUUCAUCCGGAAUACAUGGCGAGAAUGAAAGUUAUGAUUUGAAAGCUCAUCGCCCUCAACCUCUUCCAUCUCAAGAUUCGCCUCUGAGCCCACCUAGCAGCAGCAUGCCUAGUCAUUGAACCGGAGUCAUUUGUUACAUCAACUUGAGGUGAUACAGACGGGCGAACCACCACUCCUUGCAUACAAUUUCGUCUCUUUAAUUCUUCCUCUGCAUUUAAGAUUUGCUUCAACACUUGAACUAGAUUAUGUUUCUUCUGAUUCAAAACCUGCAGCUUCUCCUCAACUUCUCUCUUCCUUUUUUUUUUUGCUUAUCACUUAACUCCUCUUCUUUGUUGCAUCUCUCAGAUUUAGGGUUUUCCACUUCAUCCAAUUUCUCAACCUUCACAGGCAGUGAACUAGCACCAACAUCUGCUACAUUCAACCCUUCCUCGAUCAAAUCGGGCUUAAGAGCAGGCGGCGAAUCUGACUCACCACCGGAUUUCACCGCAAAACCAGCACUGUCCAAUUGCUUCCCAUCCUUCUUCUCCCCGGACGGCCCAGCUUCACAAUCAGUAGCAACAUUCUCCGGCGCUUCGAAUUUAAUCGUGGGGUUAGACAAAUUUCCCGCCUUCGGAGCUUUGCUGAGCUAGCGCGGGAUAAAAUCAGGCUUAGGGUUAGAGAGAUGGCGGCGGGGAGGCCAGAGCAGAGGAGAAAGAGAGCUACAGAGCGGCGGGUUAAAAGGGAUUUGAAGUCCUUAAGGGAGGGAACUCUAAGGAGAUUUCCUUUGUACAACGAAAUCGCCACCAUUUGUGAACGAAUUUUUUCUGUCGAUAUUUUGUUCUUCUGCAAUUUCUCUAUUGACCUCACUAUUCACCACUAGAAAUCGACUCUGAGAGUUUCGCAAAGCUUCUGGAGCUGCACUUCGAGUUCGAAUUAAUUCUGACUCCAGCAAACGAGCUUGACGAGUCGUGCUUCUAAUUGGAACCGGAUGAGGCCUUGGAUGCGAACUUCAUGCUCCAAUUGUACAACCUAUUUGACGAGAAACCAACAGUGGUUAAUUAUGCUCUAAAGCUGGCCAAAUCUCUGAAACUGCAGAUUGUUACUUGGGCGAGUAAGAAGCGGAUGUUGGGCAGAUGGAAGAUUUUGAUGAGCUUGAUCUGAGUCGCAGAAGGACAUGAAAGUGGAUGAGAGAAGACGAGAGCAGAUCUAUCAUUUUCUUUGAAGGCUUUGCGGAGCUCUGACCGAGAGAAGAUCCUCAGCAAAUCCCUGUCACCCUUGGCUGGCUGUACCGCUUUAUUCACAUCUGUCGCGGCUAUCAUCAUACCCGUUAACUACCUUGGCAACCUCACUGCUCCGAUGAGCAUCCUUAAAGCCGUGUCCAAGCUCCUUGUCAGCGGCAGCUUCUCGACGAUGAGGCAGAUCAGUCGACGUUGCAACAAGUCAUGUUGAAGGAGAUAUGGGCGGAAGUCCUGAUCAAAUUGUAAAAGAGGAAGAGGUUCUGGGGGACGAACCUAAUCUUGGAGAAAUUUUGAUCGGAGAAGAGAGAUGGUGACGGCUACUCUCAAAUACUGCUCGUCCGCCGCUGGCUGCGCAGCCCAAGGGAUUGCUGAGAGUGGGUUUCUUCAUUCUAUCCUAUCUAGAGGUCUUCUUUUUGGUGAAGACGUUUGACGAGGAACUUGGGCUAGAAGAAUGGGUUGUGACCCAUGUUUUGGAGGGCAGGCCUAAGGCAAGCCGCAAGUUGAGUGGAUUGGUUUCUGAGAGCCGGGCCUGGGCCUAUAUGUAUAUAUAUAUAUUUCUUCCUUUUUUUUUUAAAUAACAUAUGUAUUCAUUUUUUUUUUUUUUUGCUUCUGUUUUUUUUUUUUUUUUUUUUAAGAAACUGUAAUUUAAUUUUGUACAAAGAAAAUUGCAAGUAAAUUUGUAAUAAAAUUGACCUUCAUCAAUAAUACUUUAAUCAAACCCCAAUUUUUUUUUUGAUGUGACUGAACUCAAAAUUGAAUGCUCGAGCUGCUUACGUACCCUUCUAAAGAAAUAGAUCAAGUCAAAAGGUAGUUCAAAUACAUUUUUUUGGAUUUUUUUUUAAAUAAAAUUGACUUUCUUUAAUAAAACAUUUAUUUAUAUUUUGAUGUGACUGAACUCGAAAUUUUGAAUGCUCGAGCUGCCUACGUAUCCUUCCAAAGAAAGAGAUCAAGUCAAAACGUAGUUCAAAUACAUACAUUUUUUUUUUGUUAUUUUUUUUCGUGCCGUUUGCAGUUUCAACUCGUGCAGACAAGGAGUGUUGGUGUCGUUUGUAGUUUCAACUCGUGCAGACAAGGAGCAUUUGGUGCCGUGUUGCAGUUUCAGCUCGUGCAGGCAAGGAGCGUUUGGUGUCGUUUGCAGUUUCAACUCGUGCAGACAAGGAGCAUUUGGUGUUGCCUUUUAUGCUCGUGCGGAUCAGGAGCGUUGAUGUCGCCUUUUAUGCUCGUGCAAAUCAGGAGCGUUGUGCCAUGCAGUUUAGGCUCGUGCAGGCGAGGAGCCUUGGUUCGUGCAGUUUAGGCUCGUGCGAACAAGGAGCAUUGGUGAAUUUGUCAAGCAAUUUUGGCGAGGCGUUCCUCACAAUCUUCAUAGCAAGGAGCCUUGACCGAGUGAUUGAAGAAGUCUUCGGGCAAGAAAUCACGCAUCGUGAUGGCAACAGACGAUCUUUGUGUCGCAAUUUUAUCAUCUUCAACAUGUUCACGUUGCUUUGAAGGUUGACAAGAGCUGCUUUGCCCCCUUUUCGAUUGGCGGACUUGUGGAGGAGACGUAUGCUUCUUGUGCAAUUUCUUAGGAGUGACUUGAGUCCAUCCUUCAAUUUUGCUUGUCUUGGAGGAUGCCCCCAGCGGUUGAGGUGAAAACUUUGAGUCGGAAGAGCCAAAAGUGGAUGUGGUAUAGUUUGACUCCACCAUAUCGUCAAGAUCUAGCUCGAUGAUUCAUUUUUGAGCCAGCUUCAUGAUGAGAUCUUUCAGCACGAAACAUUUUUCUGUCGGAUGACUGAUGAAGCGGUGGAAUUUACAGUAUCUUGGACUGUCGGUACGAUUCAUCUCUUCCGGCCGUCUGCACUCAGGCAAACUGAUCACCUUCUUGUCCAACAGGUCAUCUAACAUGGCAACCACAUCAGAGUCGGGGAAUGGAUAAGUCUUCUCCUCAAGCUCCUUCAAAGUGCGUCUACGCAUCUCUUGAUCACGAAAAGCUUCGGUUUGAAUCGCCUUGCCUCGUGUGGAUAUUUUGACGGGAGAUGUGUUGACCGUCAUCGCUUCCUUGGUGGGUUUCCAUGCAGCCUUUUCCACCUUUGUCCCAAGAACUUUGUCGUUCUUAUAGUCGGCGAUCGGUUCUUUCUUCCCAUGAUGGGCGAUGCUCAACUCCAUGUCAUGGGCGCGAGUGGCCAAUUCCUCGAAGGUCCGCGGUUUAAUGCCUUGAAUGAUGUAUUGCAAACCCCAUUGCAUGCCUUGGAUGCACAUCUCAAUUGAAGAGGUUUCCGAGAGCCUGUCUUUACAGUCGAGGCUUAGAGUGCGCCAUCUGUUGAUGUAGUCAAUGACUGGCUCGUCCUUCCACUGCUUUGUGCUCGUUAACUCUAGCAUGCUCACAGUGCGGCGGGUACUAUAGAAGCGGUUGAGGAAUUCCCGCUCUAAUUGCUCCCAACUGUUGAUGGACUCAGGCUCCAGAUUCGUGUACCACUCAAAUGCGUUUCCUUUCAGCGAGCGCACAAACUGCUUGGCUAGGUAAUCCCCUUCGGUUCCUGCGUUGUUGCAGGUUUCAACGAAGUGGGCAACGUGCUGUUUCGGGUUUCCCUUUCCAUCAAAUUGCAUGAACUUUGGUGGUUGAUAACCCCUCGGCAUCCUUAGGGCAUCAAUCUUCUUGGAAUAGGGCUUCGAGUAGAACAAUGAGGUAUGUGAGCUCCCUUCGUACUGUGCCUUGAUGGUGUUGGUGAUCAUCUCCUGCAGCUGCUGGAUAGAAAGAGAUCCCAUGAGUGCCGCUGCUUGGUCUGGCUCCGGCUUCCCAUCGAUUUUCUUCACCGGGGGUUCUUCGUCUUCGCCAGCUCCUCCCUUUAGUGGAUCAUCCACUGGGUCGGGUUUAUCGCUGUCCUGCGCCUCCAGUCGGUUGACUAGUGCUGCAAUUUGCAAGUCUUUUUCUUCCACAGUUCGGGUUAGCCUUGCGAUUGCUUCAUUCAUUUGAGCCAGCUGCUCAUCGAUUGAAGUUGCUCCAAUGGUCAUGACUUGCAUGGCGCUUGAAUCAGCAUCAGAGAGCAUGGAUUCAGAGUAUUUCCUUGGGCUUUCCCCCCUUGGUGCCCUUAGUGAGGCUAAGGUGAUCAAAGGCUCGUGCCUUGGGUGCUUUUGUUCCCUUGGCAGAGUUGAUGCAGAGGUGAAAGAGCAGAAGUAGCUCUUGCCAUGCUUCGAGUCGUGAUGCCCAAAGUGACACCAGUUGCGGCGAUGACGCUUUUGUUCUUUGCGCCGGUUGCGGGAACAGUUUGAGCCUUCCUUGAUGCCAUUAAUUUUGGAAGUACGCUAGAAUUUCUUGAACGGAGAAAGAGAUGAGAGGCAGAGAUUGUCCCACUGGGCGUGCCAAUUUGUGAACACGGAAAAUUCCUGAAACGAAAGGGACAAGAACAACGGGCACAAACAAAAUAUUUGUAUUUGAUGAUUUUGGGUUACAAUCUCUCUCUAUUUUGAUCCUCUGAUUCGAUCUCCGUAAGUUGUGUAUUUGUGGAUGUGUGAUUGACCCAAAGGGUCGUUGGGCUUGAUCUAAGGAUGAAUGUUCUUCAAGGGCCGUGGAUUUGAUCUUGAAGGUGGAUUUGAGCGGAUCUUCAAAGGGGCUUUUGGGCUUGAUCUUUGAAGAACAGUGAUGAACGGACCUCCAAGGGCUUUUGGGCUUGAUCUUGAAGAACAGUGAUGAACGGAUCUUCAAGGGCUUUUGGGCUUGAUCUUGAAGAACAGUUGGGUGUGUGGAUUUGUCGACGUUGUUGAUCCAAAGGGCCGUUGGGGCUUGAUCUUGGAUGAACGGAUGAUGAACGAUGGUGCUUUCUUCAAGGGUCGUCGGGGCUUGAUCUUGAAUUGGUGGAUGGUUGAUCCAAGGGCUGUCGGGGCUUGAUCUUGGAAGAACGAUGAACGAAGAACGAAGAACGCUUUCUUGAUUCUUCGGGAACCUGGAUGCUUGAGAGCUUCGGAGUUUCAGAGCUUCAGAGCUUCAAGAAUUUUGCCUAAUGAUUUUGGUUCCCCUGAAUGAAUGAAAUGUGCUUGUAUUUAUAGAAUUUUCCAAGGCCUAAUUUUGAAUAUAAUAUCCCAGAUGAAAUAAGUCGUUUCUGCCAGGUGUUGACACGUGUCCUAUUUGAUGACUUUUCUAACUUAUUUCAAUUUUCGUUGAGUCACACGCUACGUGUAAAAUUUAUGUAAUACAUGAGCGUUGACACUUUGAUUUAUCGGUCAAUAUUUAUUUACGAAAUUUCGAUGUCUACAGUUUUCAUUUGGGCUUACCUAUUUUAGGGGAAGUUUUGCCACAUUUUCAGUAGGUUUUAAUAGUUGAACACUUGAGUUGUGACUUCAUCCAUAUUAUAGAUUCAUCACCAAUCCGAGUAAUGGUCAGCACAUCUUGAUUUUGCUGCCCACUGAACAUCGAAGUCGAGGUGUGUCAGCGGACUAGAUGUUUUUUUUGAAGUUUCUCUCUUUCAUCUACCAACUGUCAAGGCACAAAAUUCUUAUAUACACCAAUGUACAAUAUACAUCGUUAAAUGUAACAACUGGACUUGCACCCGAUAAAAUUUCAAUGUACUUUGCGGGAAUCACUCCCCCUAAACACAUGUCAAAUGGGACUUCUUAAAUUGGAGAAUGUUUAGCAGAUGCUCAGCUUUACAAAAAGUAGGGAGAAAGAAAAAUGGAAAUUGACAGACCAAUAAGCUAUAGCAAGUGCGCCUGCUGCUUUAUAGAAAAGGGUCAAUUUUGGAUUCCUUCCUCCUAAUUUAUUAAGUUUGGAGAUUCAGAUUGUUGAAAUUUGAUCAAACGGUUACAAACAGAGACCUACUUUAAAAGUUAUAAUAACUAGUGGCCGUUUGAUCAAAUUUCAAAGGCCCGAAUCUCCAGAGUUAGUGGAUUAAGAGGAAGGGAUCUGGUUUCCCUGCUUUAUGACUAAGUUCACUCUGCUUUUUUACGACUAAAGGCUCUUACAUGCUUUUGUGAAAUUUCCAGUCUGCUUCGAUAAUAUGGCACUGUAUAUAAUGCACUCCGAUCAGCUUUCAUAAUAUUGCGAAAGUCUUCUACGAGUGUGUGACUCAACUUUCAAUGAAAACAUUAAUUUGUGGAUGCAAAUUUCUUCCUCCUUGUUCUUGGACGAAAUUGCACCUAUAAAACCAAUAACACCUUAGGUCAAGGCCAAGAGCAUCACGCACCCAUGAUGAAUGGGGGAGCUUUGGCCGAAGAACCUCUGAUGCCAAAAUUAGAAUUUUGAGGAAAAAGUGUUUAGAGAAUUUGGAGAAUUUUGUAAGAGUGUAGAACUUAGAUUUUUGGAGAAAAUGGGGUAGUAUAUAUAGGGCAUGGCCAGCCCCCUUUGGAGAGAUGGUGACUAGCCAUUUGUGGCAUUUUUGAGUGUAAUUUGUAAUUAAUUAGCCAAUUAAUAGAUUAAUUAGAUAAUAAAUCAAUUAAUUAGCUAAUUAAUAAUAUAAUUUGAAAUGAAUGUUUUGGGGGUUACCUUGUAGAGAAGAUUUGAUGAGGAUUGAUGAAAUAUGUUUUGAAUAAAUAGCUAUUUUGGACACUUUUGACUUGAUUGAUGGAUGAUUGUUCACUGUUUGCAAGUAGAAGUUCCAGUGUUCCUUAAGGGUAAUUUUGUUCUUUUUACCUUAGAAUUUACGUGUCACCUCCAUAUUUUUCUUGAUUAUUUUUUGCUCCACACUCAUCACUCUUUUAGGCGUUCGCCAUUGGUGGAUGUCCUUUUCCUGAUAGCGGUGCCAGAGAAACAGAAAUAUUGGGUCAAGGUUGCUCUCGGUUCUCGCAAUGGUAAUUUUUCAAUCUGUACCUUGAUCAGUAAACAUGCUUACCAAUCCAACGUCAACCUUCUUUUGAAGAAUUAAAAUUGACAUUAUUUUUGUCCCUCAUGGAGUUUGAUAAAUUUGCUCGAUCACUUUUACAUGUUUCUCAUGGGAGUUCUUAAAUCAUCCUUCUACUACUCAACAGACAUCAAUCUGAAACAUACGGCUUGUUCAGGUACGAACUUCAAUUCAAUAUUGAUCAUUUACUACAAUAUCUUCUCAAUGUGUUUUGUUCUAAUAAUUUUCCUAUUUGUUUCUUUUAUCUACAGUACUUUAAACUACCAUCACGAACAUACGAAAUUACUAUCUAUAGAGCUUUUCGGUUUUCUGGUAUAUCUGUUAUAGCUUAAUACUAGAAAAAUUGUCCGCACUCUGCUGCGGGGUUUCAAACUAUAAUCGACAACAGCCAUGAAUAAUAUUCAUAGAAAAAAUCACUCAAAAGGCAGCAGCAACACAAUCGCAUUCUCAAAUGCAGCAAUUUAGACAACGCACAUUUUACUUGAGUAAUUCUCACAAAAUCACAAAUUAACAGUCAUCUCCAAAUAAUUGAAAAAUCAAGUCAUAGGUGAAUCGAUACGGUAAAAUAAGCAGUUCAAUUUGAUUUUACAUUCUAUUAAGUUAACAUCAAGAGCCAAUAUAUUUAUGGUUAUGGUUUUCAAUCAGUGUUUUAUUGUCUUCUUUUUAAAUUAGUGGUUCUUUUCAAAUACAAAGUUUAGUCUUCUUAGCAAAGUCAUUAUUUUUUAUAGUGGUUGGUUGAAAUAAAGAGGUAGUAUGAAAUUGUGACCAUUAGACAAUAGUAUGGCUGUGAUCUAAUAGUAAAUUACCUUAAUUUCACACGUAAGUUUGGUUUCAAACUUACUACAUAAAAACAAUGUCAACUUGCAAGACACUAUAUGAACUGGCUGGAUAGCUAGUUGAAUAAGCUUGUUCCCCUGUUUUUUCCCUUUCUUUUGAGUAAUUUCCUCCUUCCCCUCCCUCCCCCCAAACUACCUUCAUCCCAUUUUGCACUUUCCCAAAAGCCUUUUCUCUAUCCCCGUCUUCACUUUAUCACAUGCUUUUUUAUCCCAGCCAUAAUUAGACUAAUGCGAUUUAUACCUAGAGAAUAAUGUGCUUUUUCACAUGCUUUUUUCUCUCAAAAUUUAUAGAAAUAUGAAAAUGAUCAUCACAAAUUUCAGAUCCUGCAUUAACCUAAAUUAAAACAAUUAUUCAAAUUCCUAUAUUAAAACAGCAUUUAGAAGCACUAUAAACUCAAAUCACAAAAAACAUCAACAACAUGGUGAGAAUGAAGCUUUAUCUUAUAGAAAAUGAUAAAUAUUUCUCAACCAAUAUGCUAAAAAUGUCCACCACCAGUAUAUAAUAAAAAAACAGAAUACUAACUUCAUCACAUAGCACCACCUUUAAACGCAUUUCUUUCCGAAAUUAAUUUAAGAAAAAUUUUGACAUUCACAUGCCACUCAUUAAGAAAUUGAUACUAGCUUAAGUUGUAUAUUGUAAAAUGCAACCGCUUUUAGAAUUCCUAAGUCAUAUCAGUUAGCAAGAAACCCAUACUAACUCAAGUUGUAUAGUGUCAUAACGCAACUGCAAAAAGACCAAGCUUCUGCUACUAAAAAGCUUUUACAAAAUCAUAAAACUCUUAACCGUUUGAACCCUACCGGAAAGUUUAUAUGAGUUGAAGAACAGUCGUACUUAAGUGCAGCAAGAUCAUAACCUCUUGCAGCUUCUCCUCCAUGUCAAAACCACAUGCAGUCCAAAUUAAGAAAGAUUCAAUGCCAGAUCAAGAACAAAAUAGUAAUAAUUUAAACUAAAAUCCUUAAUUAUUGUUGCAGAGAGAAUUCAUAUCAAGAUUAACUACAUUAUUUAAUUCGAACGGAAUCCAAAAGCAGCAUAAUAUGAAAGGUAAAAAAUUAAUAGCAAAAGUCACAUUUCAACAGCGAUUAAUAGCAGAAAUCAAAGUUCAGUGGCAGGGACCAAAUAAACCUCAGGAUUUCAGACUGCUUAACAAAUUAGACAAACACAUAAUCCAAUUUCAUCUUUUUCCACUCAUUUUUUUCUUGCAACACUGUUGGGCACCAAACAUCACCAAAACUGACUCGCUGACACACAAAUAAGCUACCGUACACUUUUUGAUGAGGUUGGCAGAGAACUCAAUUUAGUGGCGCUCGUACCCUUUGAAUACGUCGCUCAUCUUUCCCUAAAUUUAUCUCUGCAUUCAACCCAUCACACAAUUUCAACAAUAAUUCAGUUUGAACGAUCUGAAAUCAAUGGAAUCGGAAGUAAAUACCUGUUUCGAUCGGAGAUUUGAAUGGAUCGCCGGAGACGAUGGCUGAAGAGCAGUGGCGGGUGUUUAUUUUUUGUUCUAGGUGGUGGUGGCGGUGGCUUGCUGUCGAAGCGAUGGAAACGGAUGGAAACAGUAAUGUGCGCGAAAGGAAACCUCUCUAUCUACAUGUGACCCUUCCUUUCACCGCCAAAAUAAGGCAUCAAAACACCUUGCUUACUCCUGUUCAGAAGAGCCUUACUUGCUACUGUUCAGUGCCCCCACCCCUCCCUCUUUCUCUCUGACUCUGCAACCCGCCUCUCUCUUUCUGUUUUUGCCGUACCGAAUGUUAGACCAUCCUCAGUCAAUCAAGUCAGUGGAAUCCUCACAAAAUCCCUCACUCAAUCGGGUCAGUGAUAACCUCCCUCGAUUUCCUCCCUCACCCUCUGCAACACUGGCACACCCCUCACCUGCUCCCUCAAUCUCAUCGAACCCAGGCACACCACCACUCUCCCAAACCGAGAAUGACCAAAAUACCCAUGCAAAUUUCAUUCCAGUCCGUUGGAUUUAGAAUGUACAUAGGGUAAAAUAGGCAUUUGAUGCUCAGGGAUUUAACCCAUUCAAUGGUCACCACCGAAGCCCACUUCGGGCCCAAAACCAACAGCCCUAAAAAACCCAAAUUGUGGUCAGUGGAAGAGAUGUAAAUAUUCAGCCCAAAUCUGAUGGCAUUGUUGUAAAUAUUCGGCCUAUGACAGCCAAAAUACAUAGCUUGUUUUCUGUUGAGACGCUUCUCUCAUAUCUGGCCAAUUAAUGAAGAGCAAACUACGACACCAUUAUUCAAAAUUUGACAAAGUGAAGUUUUCCUCUAGGAAUCUUCACCUUUCAAGCUAUAUAUUUUCUGGUUCUCAAUUCUUACAAUUUUCAUUGUUUUCCUCUAGGAAUCUUCACCUAAUUUUCUCGUGUUUGCUUUAAUCGCGUACUGACGUUGGUGAUUGAGAAAAUGAAAUCGUUGAUGUCAAUGCUCAACUUUACUGUUUACUUUUUGUAAAGUUAAGUUUAUUGUAGCUCGAGAUACCUUCUUUAUAUGCGAGUAAGUCUUCCACCAAAUCAGAAACUAAAGCGUUUUAUAUACGUUGAAACGUGAUUGGAAGAUGCGUUGUCAUCCAUUCUUUUCGAUUUCCUGUGUUUGAGUUAUAUUAUUUCCUCCAUGAUUUGAAGUUGUUUCCGAAGUAUAUUUAUUGGGAUUUUGAGAUGUGCGUUCUGGUACCUUUUGGAAUAUGACUUGAAACUUUCAGAGCAAGCGCAAACCAGAGUUUACCGUUCU
rnacentral:lncRNA from 1 species